rnacentral:lncRNA from 1 species
UUUUUUUUUUUUUUUUGAAAGACUGGAUAUAACACCAGGCAAAACCAACAAAACAAAGAAAGCCCACCAGAGGGGCAAACGCAGCAAAACAAAGAGAAGGGUCGUGGCAUUAUUUGGUGAAAAGUGAAGGAGAAAAAUGGACAACGCUCAUAAAUUCAAGAGUGGUGAUGUGUACGCUUGUGUUUUCUUCUUCUGCACUAUUUCUUUGUAUUUGUCUAUUAUUUUUUCUUCGAUUUAUUAGUCCAAAAAAUAAAAAAAAUGAAAAAAUAUUUUCAAAAAAUAUGCGAAAAUCAUUUUUUAUAAUUCAUAAUGAGAUUAAAUCAUUAUAUUAGCUUUGACUCUUGACAACUAUAGACCUUCGUACGACCUCCAAACAACUGAGUGAAAGUUGAAGCUUCCCCAUCAAAAUCUAUAAACAAAAGCAGAUUAUCUGCAUUGGAGUUGAGUUUCAAAUCACCACCACAGCCUGCAGAUUGAGACCAACUUGGCAGAAGCUUUGAGAUUACUUCUCUCUCUCUCUCUCGCUGUCUCUGUGGAGCCAAGUUUAAGGGAAUUAGUUAGAAUUGGUCUCUAUUCAAAUAGAAAAUAAAUAAGCAAGAGAGCAACUGAGAAGGACAAUUGCCCUCCACCAAAAAGCCAAAAACCAUUGUCUUGAAGACAACCACAUUUCACCAAACACCCAAUUAAACAAAUCUCAUUAAUCUAAUAUUCCCUUGCUAAAAUCCCUUAAUUCUCUCUUAAUCCACACGUUCAUGUCUUUCACUUCUUUCUUAUAUUUUCCUUCUUCUUCCUCCCUCUCUCCAACUCCCUCUCUCUUUUCUACUCUCUCUCUCCCAUGCAGCUACCUCGCAGAAAAACUCUCUCUCUCUCCGAAUCUGCGGCAAUGAAGGUACGCAAGAACAAUAACCUCUCCAUCUUCGUCGUCGUCUUUUCGGUCUUCCUCUUCGGGGUGUUCAUGUAUAAUGAGGACGUGAAAUCCAUCGCCGAGUUUCCAUUCUCGAGCCACAAAGCUCAAGAACUCCAGGAAGAACUCCAGUUGUCGAGACAGAGCGACCCGGUUCAAGAAACGAAACAGACCGACUCUGUUCAAGAAACCCACAACAGAGUGUCUCUGAGCUCGAGAACCCAACUGGAAGAAACCCAUUUGGAGAAUCACAAUUCAGAGGAAACCCAGUUGGAAAAUCACAACUCAGAGGAAACCCAGUUGGAGGAUCACAGUUCAGAAGAAACCCAGUUGGAGAACAACAAUUCGGAUGAAACCCUAGAGCCGGUUGAUCUGAAAUCCAUCGUCGAACAACACAAAGAUCAGAAGAUUGAAUUGUUGGGUUCUUCUCAGGAAGAAGAGGAAGAGGAGGAGAUUGAACUGCCGCCGGAAGAUUGCGAUUUGUUCAACGGAGAUUGGGUUUUCGAUCCCGCGACUCACCCCUUAUACAAAGAAGAAGAAUGCGAGUUUCUUACGGAGCAAGUGACGUGCAUGAGAAAUGGAAGGAAGGACUCUCUGUACCAGCAUUGGAGAUGGCAGCCCAGAGACUGUAAUCUCCCGAAGUAUGAAUCUUUAACUGUUAAUUACUGGUUUUAAAUUUUGAUUUCUGGGUUUUUGUUUAAUUAUGGUUUGGACUAUUGUGUGAUUAGGUUUAAUGCGAGAUUGUUGCUAGAGAAAUUGAGGAACAAGAGGCUGAUGUUUGUUGGAGAUUCACUGAACAGAAACCAGUGGGAAUCCAUGAUUUGUUUUGCUCAGUCUGCCGUUCCUCCCGGCAGGAAGAGCCUGGUGAAGAAUGGCUCCCUCUCUGUUUUCAGAGUUGAGGUAAACAUAUUCAUUUUUCUUCUUUACCUUUUCGUAGGUUCUAUUCUUUUAGUGGAUAAAAUGAUUUUGUAGGUUCUAUUCUUUUAGUAUAUAAAAUGACGUCAUCAUCGACCCACACCUCGAGAUUUUCAGUAUAUAGCACGGUUAGGUACACUAAGUGUAAUAAUACAAUUGGUUAGAAACAUAUAAAUAAAAAAUUAACAAAUUGUAUUAAGACACUUAGUAUACUGAAUCAUAUUUCCGGCAUAAUAUAAAAUUUCUCUCAAAACUCUUACAAAAGAAUAAGUUAUUGUACAUUUUGAUUCCCUCUGUUCUACAUGAUGGAAGAGUAGCCCUAAGGCAGUUUUUUCGAAGUUUCUCUCGUUAUUAUUUCAGUAAGGAGCCAUUAUUUUUUGUGAAAAAAAUUAGAGUUCGAAACGUGUCUAAGAAUUUUAUAUUUUAUGAUUUUAGUAAGUUAUUUUUACAUAUUCAUUGGACUUUAUUUUACAGUUAAAUAAACGGUAAGAAAUCAAGCAGUGUUCAUAUCUAUGGUGUAAAGAUAAUUUCAUGUCUGGCAUUGUAGAUUGCUUGGCAGACACAUAUUUUGGAAACUAUCUAAAUAUUGUUUGUUUUUGUUUUGUUUAAUUAUGUGGUUUUAGGACUAUAAUGCCACGGUGGAAUUUUAUUGGGCACCAUUUCUGGUGGAGUCAAAUUCAGAUGAUCCAAACAUGCACAGCAUAUUAAAUCGAAUAAUAAUGCCCAAAUCAAUUAAAAAGCAUGGUGAAAAUUGGAAGGGCGUCGACUAUCUAAUUUUCAACACAUACAUUUGGUGGAUGAACACUUUCAACAUGAAAGUUCUGUAAGUAGCCAACUUAAACUUGCUCAAAAAUUUAAAAAGUUAAUUUCUUAGCAAUUUCAAGAAGUUGAUGUGUUUUUAUUUGUUGUUUCGACUGAAAAGACGAGGUUCGUUCGAUCAAGGGGCAACGGAAUACGAUGAGAUCGACCGGCCGUGGGCGUACCGGAGAGUCAUGAAAACUUGGGCUAAGUGGGUGGACAAGAACAUUGAUCCUAAUCGGACCACCGUUUUCUUCAGCAGCAUGUCUCCUCUUCACAUCAAGUAAUUUUCUCGCACGUUUUAUUUAAUUAUUUUCUUAUGCUUCAAAAUGUGGAAACAGUUUUGUCAAAAUUUGCAUUUUUUUUGGGGAAAAAAACAAGACAACAUAAAACAAAAGCAUAGAAAAUAACGUUCGACUAAAAACAAAACAUAAAUAAUAACGACGAAUUCUCUGCAAUUACACAAUUGAAAGUAUACACAAGCACAUGCGUACUAAAGAAUCUUAGUUUAGUGCAUAUGUAGGUUUAGGUUGGGUGCAUAGUUUCUUGCACUUGUUUUUUGCAUCCGAAAUUGAAUCUUCCUCUUCAUAAGAGUGGUUUAAAAUAUCGGUUGUUGAAUAAAAGAACCUAAGUUUGGUAAUUCUUCACGUGGUUCUUGUACCUAAUUAACUAAUUUGCAGUAGUUUAAACUUAAACAAACUUUAAUGGCAACCAUUUUUUUUGUCUUUUUACCCAAAUUUUUCUUUCAAUCAUUAGCUUGUGAGGCAAGUCUACGCCUAGUAGAUUUGUUGAGAAAGUGCAUUUAGCUUUAAGGCAAAAAUACCUGUCUUCUGUUUUUUUUUUUGGUUGUAUAUUUUGUAAGUGAAUAUAAUAUAAUAUAAGAAUAUCUGCAUUUGAAAUAUGAUGUUUAAUUUUCCCUCAUGCGUCCCAAAUUUGAUACUCUACGUUCUCUUGUAAUAAUUUAAAACCCUCUUUCUCCCCUAAUUAAUAAUAAAUUUAAAAAAAAAAAUAUAUAUAUAUAUAUAAUAACAUCCCUUAGGUGAGCGUGAGCUGUUGGGUGGUUGAUUGUGGGUAUGAAAAUGAACCCCAAAUCUUUGAUUCGACCCUAAUCUUUGGUUGGUUAACCACUACAUAUCUAUUUCUAAAUGAAUAAUCAUAAUAUAUGUCCUUUAAUCCUUUCCACUUCCAACAUAGAGGACACAUGUUACAUUAUUCGUACAACAAUUCUCACAAAAAUAUAGACUUCUGCAUUUUUGUUCCAUCUGAUAUGAAAGUUGUCUUAAUCCAAUAGUCGUACCAAAACUUUUCUCGUAUUGACACAUUAUUUGGUGAACACAAUUCACGAAGUCUGACUUUCUUCUAACCGCGAUUGACCUUUGUGGUGUAAUAGGAGUUUGGAUUGGGACAACCCAAAUGGCAUAAAAUGCGCAAAAGAAACCACACCAGUUUUGAACAUGACAACCCCAUUGGAAGUGGGCACGGACCGCAGGCUAUUUGUGAUUUCAAGCAACAUAACAAAAUCAAUGAAAGUGCCCGUCUACUUUCUCAACAUCACAACCCUCUCCGAGUUCCGCAAAGAUGCACAUACCUCAGUCUACACCAUCAGGCAAGGCAAGUUGUUGACGCCGGAGCAGCAAGCCGACCCGGCCACUUACGCAGACUGCAUCCAUUGGUGCCUCCCCGGGUUGCCCGACACAUGGAACGAGUUUCUUUACUCACGUAUCAUCUCCCGCUCUUGACACAUAGGAAAAUCCGUACACUCUGCCCCUUGUUGUUUUAUAAUUUUUGUUUUAAUUUUGGGUCCACUAUUUCAUGUAAUUUCUCUCCUCAGUUUUUACUGUCUUAGGAACUCUUGUUUUUUAUUUUUUGGUUCUUUUAUUCAGCCAAUUUGACUAAAAGGUGAGAGCUGAAUGAGGAUGCUAAUUUUUAGCCAAAGUCUCACAAAAUUUGCUUAGGCUGAAAAGGGACUCUUUGAUACCACCCCCUCCCCACAAAACCCGAAUUGUAAAAUUCAUAUUCCAAAAAAUAAUAAAGAAAACGCAAAACUGCAUGUCCUCUUCUCUUAUCCUAUUUUUACUUCUAGUGUUGGAAUAACGACUAAGUUCCCGAUAAUUUUCCUAGAGACUUUUGACGGUUAAAUCUUGGUCACUGGCUCCUUGAUCAAGAAUCUAACGGUAAACAAUUAUGUUGGAUACGGUACCUCAAGCAUGCUGGAAAGGGAAAUUUAUUUGAACCCAUAGAACUUCUUUCUACACAUAGCUUACUCUUUACACAUAUAUCAUUAUUAAUUAACCCAACUGCCUAAACUAACCUCACAAACGCAAUUCAACAUGUAAUUUAUCUUUACACCCAUUUCAAAGUUCAAAAACCAAACUAAAAUGAAAAGAGCUCAUGCAAAAACAAUGAAACAAAGUAUGUAGCUAUUGUUGGUUUGGCUAAUUAGAAUUUAGAUUGCAAAGCAAAGACUAAUAGUAUCAGUAUGAUAUUAUACGAACGCACACAUGAGAAACUUAAUUAAUCCAUGUUGUCAAUAAUUUAACUGUUAGAAUCUUGGACUCUUGAAUUAAGAAGUAGCUGUUUGAUAUGUAAUCCAAGAAAAAAAAAACACGAUAUUAUGGUUAUGUAAAUUAAGAAGUAGAAUACUUGGUAAAUGGUGUCCAAAAAGAACAAGAAAAGACUUGGCAGCGUUAGUAUAUGGCAUAUAAAUUAAUAAUUCAACUCUUGCAUAAAUCGAUUCAUACUUUAGUCGGAGGAUUCAAAACUUCAAAAUCACCGUCCAUCUGGAAAAAAGAGCUUGUUUUUCUCUAUGAGAGCAAAACACCUCUAACAGCACCCUACUACCAAGACAAAUAAAAGGUUUCGUAUUUAAUUGCGACAUUUUACAUAUACCUACUUCAGACAAUAUACAUGUAAGGUUCUGUAAUGGGGAGGCUGCCUAGCAGAUGAAUGUGAUAUGCUCCACAGAAUAUGAUUAUCCAGGGCGGAAAGCAAAGAACAGAUCAUACCUUCGCGUCUAGAGACAAAUAUUCUGCAACGAAUCUUCACCUUACUCUGUACAAUCCAUGCUUCAUCUGCUCUCGUUAGAUGAAAAGAGCUUAUCUAUCGCGGCAAUAGCAUUGAUGUGAGUCCUCGGAAAUAGUAGAUGUAACAAAGGGACCAAAGUUGACGAGGACUUGAGCUUGGGCUUGACUUUCUCCACAGCCAUCUUAAUUACAGAUGGAGCUGGUACACCGAACCACUGAAGGUACCAAGAGAGAAGUAUCGAGCGUUUAUCUCCGUGGAAUUCCGCAUUUGGCCACCUCCCAGAAUACAUAUAAUUACAAAAGUCGUCAUUCAAGUCCUGAGAACAGUUUAGGAGCUCUUCCACCUGCUUCCUAAGACAUGCUAUAAAGUUGGACUGAACAAUGCCGCCUCUGGAAGCAGUGGAUCUUCCGCUUAACAAAGUCUCGUUGUAGGCUAGUGCAAGCUGCAGUCAGAAGGGGGUGGAUGAAAAUACAGUGCAACAAAUUAUGUCAUUAAGAAAACAAAAGUUGAUUAUUAGAGAUCGAGGAAUGAAUUAACAAAAGAAAAAAAGUUGAUGCGAUAUCAAUCAUUUGCAAAUUUAACUUGUUUUUCUUUCUUUCUCCAGUUAUAGCAAAGUUACAUAUUCAACUCAUCCUAAUUCAAUUAUGAUCACCUACGUUUUUUUGACCACUUUUUUUUUUUUUAUAAUGUGUUUUCUUGAUCAUUAAACAGGAAAACCAUACCGAUGUUCAACUCUAAGGAAUUGAUAUAGUUUUGGCAUCAUUUAAUAUGAAAAAGUUGAAAUGAAAGUUAUAACUAGGGCAAAGUGAAAGGUCAAUAGAAUACUACCUUAAGAUUACAAAUAGCAAGAGAGUCGGAUAAAACAACAGCAUCACUGGUAACUUGACCUGCCAUUGAUCCAAUUGUCGUGUAUAAUGACAAAUAGACCUGCAUAUUUUUCAGGAGAUUGUAUUAAGUUUAUUAUUAGAAGGGUAACUUUCAGAAACGGGAAUAUCUCGUAAGCAUUGAUUAAAAUGAAAAGCUUAAUCAGUUCGACUUCUACAGUUAUAGUUGAAAAGCAUAAUCCCAUAUCACAUUAAGAAAAUGAAAGGCAAAUGUCAGUUGCAUUGAAUGUGUCGCAUCUAAAUCAUAUCAAGAUAUACCACCCGGCAGGUACAAGCAGAUUAUAGCCCUUGUGGCAUCCAACCAUGCUGGAAGAACUAAUUUCGGAAUGCAAGGUUCAUUUAAAUGGAAGGCAGAGAAAAUAAUCUCAUACGCAUAUUUUAUGGUUACCUGUAAAAGAGCAGGUCUGUCCUUGCUCACACACUCAAAUAAGACUUGCAAGCAAAAUUCUUGGAAAUUAAUGUCAGAUCUGCAUAUACAUCUUAAGACUGGUUAUUUCAAAGAAAUUACAUGGAUAAUGUCCAAUCCCUACUGAAUUCCAGACCACAAACUGGAACCAAAAGGCCAAAGAGAAAAAUGCGAAGAUAAACAGGUACUUACUUGCUCUUCCAGGAAGGGUCGCAGCAGAGUUGUGCAAAAGCAAGCAAGCUAGGAUCAGAUGAGAAGGUACCAACCAACUGGUCAACAGUAACAGAACCAGGUCCAUUGUCCCCGCUUGGACAGGGAUCACGUCCUUUUAAACUUGUCAAACCAAACACCUGAAUCAAGAACAAUUUGGUAUCCACUCUGUCAUCCAAAUACAUCACUAACAUAAUAACCAGUGGUAGAGAAUUUUUUACCUUAUGCAUUGCCCGUGACAGCAGUGACUGACACCCUAUGGGAUCAUCAAUGUACGAACAUGCUCCAACCUUUCUUUUGAUAUACACAACACCAGAAUUAAAUGGGCUAUUCUUGUCCCCAGGGGUCCACCAUGGUUCAUCUGUUAAACAAAAUAUGGAAUAAAGCAAAACAUCACAUAACUAUGAAAUUAAAAUAGAGUUGACAGUUUGACUAUCAAGAGUUAAAAUCUCGGAAACAGAAUAGAUUAGCAAAAACAAGCAGAAACAAGUGCAUACCUUCAGGGACAAGAUCUAUUAUUUGGGGCCAAUACCGAGGGCCACAAAUGCGUAUUGACUUCAACUGCAAACAGCAGAAAAUCAAAUAAUCCGUUAACCAGUUUUCUGUGUAACAUAUAUACAAUAGCAGUCAGAUUCAUUCCAAGGUAAUUAACUCACCACUUGAAGUCACGCAGGAACACUAAACCUACAUAAAUAUACUAUAUUUGGCAGUCCAUAAAUGCUCAGGUAAAAAAAAAAACUCCAUAAUGUUUAAAACUGGUAUAUUUUAUAUAACAGUUUCUUCAAAUAUUUUUAUAUCCAAAAGGAGGAAAAUUUCUAUGCAGAGCUUAGAUAUUUCCCAAGCAAAGUCUCCUUUCAUUUUAUUUAUAUGGGGGAAGAGAGGGAAGCUGAAGAAUUAAUGAUUUCCGACAGAGUUAUUCUUAACAGUUGAAACUUACAAUGUCACGUUCUGGUAGAAGGCAAGGCGUAACCUCACAAAAACUUGUUUCCGAAUAAUGUUCAGUUUCCUUAAUAGUAACUUCAAGAGGGGCAUACACAGGUAGACCAGUGUCAACAUCAACUGUCUGGAUCCAACGGGCUUCAGUUGCAAGUACAUACAAGUGCCGAAAUGCCUGAAAUUACACUUCGUUCAGAAACUCAAGAUACUCAUAAUCAGCAAUUAGAUAUCAUAGGGUGAAGAAGCAAGCACUUUCUAUUCGCUCUUGACAAAAGCUGUCUGACCUAAACAAAUAUAUUUUAAACGUGUUUCCCUCUAACUUUUUUAUUCAAGGUCAAUACUACGGUAUAAUCAAUUAUGAAUUAAACCAAUACAUUUUUCAAAACCAAUUAUAGAUGUAUGUGAUGCCUGAGAAAACCAUUUGACCUGGAGGUGGCAUCGAUUAUCACUUGGUCCAGUAGGCAAUCGUGGAUAGAGAGUAAUCAGCAAAGCAGCAACUGAACUGUUGCUUGUUGAAAAUGUCCGUGUUCCUCCCCCAAGGAACAAGAAACCAAUUGCUAGGCUUACCUAGAGUGAACAGAAACACAAAUGCAACAAAAUUUAAAUUGUAAUAAUGGGGAUGCCAUCAAAGAAAUUUUGAGGAAAGUAUGAACAUUUCUAGAAGAAUACGAGAUCUAACGAUAAGCAGUGGAAGACUUACAGCCAUCUGAACACCAUAAUUAACAUGUCCAUCUGCAGAAUUUCUGUUGCGGAGAAAUCUCAACAGCUUAAAGGUUUGUAAAUGUCCAGAACCAGCCAUAACCUGCCAUAGCACCAGAUACUUAACUGCGCUCAUACUAAGAAAUAGUAGAUACAAAUACCCAAAAAAAAAAGUAGGAAUGAAAAAUCCAAUUACCAGAGACAGGGAAAGAACAAUGAGAUGAAGACAUAUCUCCAAUGUGCUUCGAUCGACAUAGUGAGACAAUCCCUUUGGGAAGGUUCCACUUGUAGCAGAAACUGGCUUGAUCUGCAAACAAAAGAAAAGUACUUAUUACUAACGUAUGGGUGGUUAAAAGUUAAGCAACAUCAUGCUAACGUCCAACCUCAUUCAGAAAGUAAACAGCAUAGCUGUAAAGUAACUCCUGAGCAUUUGCAUCCUUUGUACCAGCAAAUCUCAACCCUGCCCAUGAUAAAGUUUUAAUGGAAGAUAAAAUAAGAGACAAAUAUAUGUUUAAAAGCUAAUGAGUACUAAACUAUAAAAGAACAUUAGAAGCAUAUCAAUUUGUUUGUAACCAAAUGAAACAGUUAUAACAUAAAAAAUAACUGAAUCUGCUCAGAAUCUUAUUAUUGAACAAUUGGAAUAAAAAGUUGCAGGAGGCACAUCCUUUUAGCUUGCCAAAAAAGACACAGCAUCUUAUAACACAUUCAAUAAAAAUGAAAAUUACAUCAAUAUCCUUCGAGUUGGAUGCAACUACAUAAGCAAAUGAUAAAAAAAGGUUGUACCCAGUGCACAAGGCUCCCGCUUUACGCAGGGUCUGGGAGAGGUGAAUGUCGGCUAGCCUUACCCCCAUUUAUGGAGAGGCUGCUCCCAAAAAAUCAAUACCAUAUGAAAACCACGUCUUACCAAGGGAAAUGCAGGCUCCAGCCACUAUAUUGACAUAUGCCUGCACAAAUGCUUCAGCAUCCAUUUCAUCAAUAUCAUCAGUAUCAUCCCCAAGGCAUUUGACACCAUUUUUGACAAUAUCAGGAAUCUGAGACUCUACCCAAUCUUGGGAAGGAUGAAUCCUACAAACGAUAAAUUGUCAAAUUAUGUCUAAAAAGUAGUUAUAUAGACCCGGAUUGAAUGACCAGCAGUACCUGCUCCACAUUAUCAAAUUUCGGGCAAUGACACGAAGCAUGAUAAAAUCAGGCCUCACAUAUUGUAACUCAAACUGUGUUUGAGGAAUAGAGAGCUUAGACACAAUCACCUGUGAUUCAGUCUGUAACAGAAUAGCGGUAUGUGAGAAAUUAUCGUGCAGACAGAUAAGCUAAUUGGAGUGUACUUUUCAAAUCAGUAUCGUCUUUAUUGGAAAUUACCUUCAAAAACAUUAAAGCAAGAGCAAGUGUGGCUCCAGGUGCAGUGGCAUCAACAUUGACUGCUGUUCCAUCCAUCAUCUACAAGACAAUAUUAACAUGGGGAAAUGUCCAUAUCAACUGUUAAAAAAAUGCAGACAAGUAGGUUAAAAUAAAGACUGCUAUGUAAUGGAACGAUUACAAUUAAGCUAGUGUGAGAACCUCAACCUGUGCAGCAGCACGGCUGUGCUCAUCGGCUGAUAAUAUUGAUGAAAGGGAUCUAUCCUGAUGCAGGUGAACAAUUAACUUUCAUGUUAGAAUAACCACAAAUUCAAUACUAUGGUAGGAUGAAAUUCUUUCCCAAGACAUUGGGGGCAUAGAUAAACAAAAUGCACUACUGUUCAAACAUUCGAAAUUAAACAUGACGAAAGAUAACAGAGUAAUGAAAGAAAUAUGGAUUUAACACCAUACAUUGUUAACUUCUUUUCCACCAAUAUAAUGGAACAAUUUAUCAACCAUUGUGUCCAUGAAACCAAGAGCAUCUUCUCCCCGACCUUCAUUAAACAUCCAUCGUUAUGACCACAUUUUGAAAUAAUUGAUAUAAACAUUUAACUGUCCAUACCCAAUGCAACAAGACCCAAUGAAAAUCCUGCAGAAACAGCAUAACCCUCCCUUUCAAGAACAUUAUCCCCUGCACUUCUACGUCCUAUUUCCAACUGUAAAAUGCAGCAUAUAACAUAUGAAGUCAGAUCCAAAGGCAUCUUACAGCCAAGAUAAGAUUGUACGGAUUAGUAUCAAUCACCCAAAAAGUUAAAAAACAGAAUAGCAUAGUAUCUCAUGCAAUGCAUAAUAAAAUAUAUGCAAACUAGUGGAGCAACAAAAAAAUGAAAAAGAGAGCAAACCAAGAGAAUCUGCAUUGUUUGUGGAUGUGCUGAUCCUUCAUAAAGAAGCCCAACUGACAUUAGACCCGCUGACUGUAACGACAAAAGAAUCAUUAUGUAAAACAAGAUAGGAAGUUGAGGAAAGUAAAAUUAGUAACUAUAGUAACAUAGUACACUAGAACAAGAAAAACAAGUAAAAGAUAUAUGUUCAUAACUGCAAGUUUUCCAGUAGAAGGUGUGGUUUGAGUCGUUUGACAUAUAUUUGGAAAACAAUAUCCUACAGAUACAUAAGAGACCUAUUCUGAAGGUAAUAUAAUAACAAUAGCUCAGCAGAUACCUGCAGAAGGGUUGGUAACUCUACUUCACUUGCAACUGGAAGUCGAGCAGGUAUAUGAAAAUAAAGAACCUGUAAUGAAAUUGUAAAAACAUAAAGUUACACCACAAACAGCAUACGCAUAUGGAUACAAAAUUAAGAGAAAGGAAUCCGAAAACAACUACAAAUUUGAAAGAAAUAAAUUAACCAUGCAACUUCAGCUUAAAUCAUGCUCAACUAGCAUGUUCAAAUGUGUCCUUCCUCCCAUUUAAAUAAAAUAAAUUUAUGUUCUGACUCUCUAAAUAUACUUUUAAUAUACUGAAACAGCCCACUGCACAAAAAGUACAUACCAAGGAAAUGAUACUGGUUAAAGACAAUCUAACUUAGUAACUAUUGAAAAGAUUACAAGUUAGUCCACUCUCCAACUUAUGCAACUAUAAUGACAAUCAACAAUCAGAAUGCAAGAUGAAUGAUAUUGAAAUUUCUCAGUGGGAGAGAGAGGGGACUGUAAAUAUUAUUUUCAACACAAAAAGCAACAAAAGUUGCACACAGGUUCUUUAAAGGCAUAAGUCAUUACCUUAGAUAUUGCUGGUUGCAUAGUACCUCUGUAAGAAGCUGCCAGGCCAAGCAUCAUACCAACCGUUGUGGUCUCAUGUUCCUAAGAAAUUGAAGUGUCGAGUAAAUCAGGCACUAACUGGAGAACUACAUACAGAAGAGAAAAGAAAUGGUAACUAGGGUGGUGGCAAUCAAGAAGGAACAAAAGGCUAGGCAGUCAACAUCUCUCUCUCUCUCUCUCUCUCUCUCUCUCUCUCUCUCUCUCUCUCUCUCUCUCUCUCUAAGAAUUUAAAAAGAAAUUCUGACAUUAAGAUCCUCCUAAUUAAGAGGUUUUAAUCUUGAGGUAUCAAAACAGGUAACAGCAACUCAAGGGCAUUACAAAGAAGAUAAUAGAUAACUAAAAGUCACGGAAUACAUCACCUGAUAAAGAUACUGAUAUAUGUCAGUAAUAGUUAAAACACGAAGAUAACCAUGUAAUCCCAGUGCAAGGAUAAGUCCAGCAUGAAUAGCAUUUGGCUCCUCUGGUUUGUUAUAUAUUAUCCACAUUCUUGACAUUUUCCCCUGGAAUGAUAAGCCAAGAGAAGACAGAAAACUCAAGAAAUACCAUAUAAAUAUUUAAAAUUUAUAUAGAAUAUGUUGGAGGAAUGAAGAGUAGCAUGAUGUUAUAUUCGAUAUCUAAUGGUAAAACUAAAUGGUAAGACAUCUAUGUAGAGAUUCAUGGCAAAGCAAUACAUACAAAAGCACAGAUCAAAAAGAUAUUAAAAAUGGAAGUCAUAAUAAGGAAAUUAUUAGUGCUAUAUGUCCUAAAAAAAAAAACAGAGAGAGAGAGAGAGAGAGAGAGAAAACCUGAAGAGGAGCCAGCCUUAGUCCAGCGGCAACAGCAUUGUUGAAUUCAGGCCAAGAUUUGAUUUCUUGUAUAUUCUUUACAUUUGGGUCCAGGUUAACCUUUCAUAGAAAAACAUAAUAUGCAUGGGUAACAGACUGUACCAAGAUGGUAAUUCUUUUUGUUUUUGUUUACAAGACUCAACCUAUCAUUUUCAAAUCAGAAUCAUUUAUAGUUAUCAUAUACUGUUCAAUGAAAGAGUAAUUUACCAAAAGUUGUCGUAGCAGAGGAGAUAAAAAUCUUUGAAAGAGAACUAGAAAUACAAAGAAUAUGGCACAAAAGAAACAAAAUUGCUAAAAGAGCAAAUCUGAACAUACAGUUGCAUUUUGCUGGGCAGGUAACCGACCUGCUAAAACAAGCUUGGGGACUGCAAAGGCCUAGAAAAUUGGUGGUGGGGGAAGGAGAAUCUUGUUAGCAUACUUCAAGCAAUCAACGUAUAGAAACACAAGGACCAAAGAAAAAGAGGUACCUCUGUCAAAAGUGUAUAUAUGGUUGCAAGAGUGAAUGCCCCACGACCAAAAGGAAGGGCGGUGGUCCUUUGUGCAAGGUGCCAUAGCUGGGCCUUUACAACAAAGAAAAAGACAGUAAGAAUAUGCAGAGAUGGCAUUAAUAAAAAUUGUCUGUCCACUGAGCAACAAAAGGGAUAUCAAAGUGUCCAAAAAUGUAUCUUUUGGUUUGGCAGAGGGGGAUCAACUAUGAACCUAUGAUAGAUCAGACGUUUUUAUCUUCUCAAGUGAGCAUAAACGAAAAUUUACUUCUACAAAUUUAGAUGUGCUGAGAAUGCACAGCUGCAUUUCUUCAAUGGCUGUUUUAACUUUUAAGUUUAUUAUCAUUAGCAUUUCAGUUAACAGAACAGCAGCAUAUGCAAAACAAGUAAUUAAUAGUAAGGUGUACCUGUUGGAGGUCCUGAUCAGAGGCACUAGGAUUAACAGAUGUUUGAAUUGCCACAGGUCUUGCUGAGCAGAGGAGACGUCUAACCUGAUAGAAGUAAAACUCGCUUUCAGACAGGCAUAGUACAGUUCAAUUCAGGAGAUACUCCAGAACACCAAUAACAAAAAAGACAAAAUCCAACACAAAACAGGUAGAUACAACCCAACGAACCAAUCAAUAAUUGAUGCUGAAUAAUAACAGAACUCUAUAAUCAUCGAUUGUGAUUAGAGUCUGAAAGACGAAAACCUUAGAGUCACCUGCAUUAACACUCCAACCGCAUAGAGGUAGAAACCAUUGGUAAUAAUCACAGUAAUCCCUGAUGUCGGUAGGAAACAGAGCAAGCUUUACAAAUUUUAGGCAUUCUGUACAAACUGUGCCCCAUGUAGAUUAUACAUAUUUAAUAACUGGAUACCUUAGCAAUGGCAAGGCUCAAACUUACUCAGAUCACACAGACCAACCCAGUAGAGAGGAUUCAAAUUAAGAGAGAAGAUUAGAUUUAGAGCAUAGUUUCAUGCAUUCUUACAGGUACUCAAAAUGGCAACAGAAACUAAUCACCAGAAAAGUUUCCUGCCGCAUAACCAAACACAUUGAAGAUAGCAGUGGUACAUGAAUACAACAAAUAUGAGAAAAUGAAAAUCUUCAACAAGUUCCACUCAAAACUCUACACAUCAACAAUUUCCAUUAUGACCUUUUUACAUCUAAGGUGUAGCCACAUGCUCUUCCUUCACACCCAAAAAUAUAUAUUAGCCAUAUUAGCUUUGUCAGUAGGUUAAAGGGGAAAAUGACAAAUACACUUACAUCAAUAAUUACUAUAAACACAAGAGCAACCACUCCAUCAAAAUACUGUGAGCCUAGUGAUAGCAUGUCAAAAUGGCCAAUUAAAGUAAAAAGAACUAAAAUUCACCUCAUUCAGUCGUAAAUCACGACCAUAGCGCAACUGUGUGCUAGUGUUGAAGAUAUGCUCCAUGCCAUCAAUCAUAGAUCCAUCAACAGAAUCUGCAUCUUCAAACUUAGUAUUCUCCAAUCCAGUUGUAUCAGAAACUGCAGAAGGAAUUGUGACUGGAUGCAAAUGUAGCAUGUAAGGUGCAGACAUAGAGAUUAAGUUCACAUUAGUCUGUGUUUCAAUUUCCUUAGAUUUGCACGAUCGUUCAAGACAUGACAAAGCCAAAUCUUCCCGACCAAGAAGAACAUAUGCAGCUGCAGGCCAACCAGUGGGAGGAGAUUCCCGGCACUUACCCAGUGCCUAUAGAACACACAAACAAAGGAUUCAGUUGAUAAUGAAAAUUGAUAACUAGGAAAUCAAUAAGGAGACCUAAGUAAUAUUACAAUACUGAUACCAAAAAAAAUAAAAAAUAAAAAUAAAAGUAAAACUCUUUCAGAUAACAGUAAAUUGCCCAGGGGAUAAGUAAGUGAUGCUUAACUAAGUGAAUGUAGCAAUUCUUACAUGUCGCAAAGGAAGAGAUACACCAGAAGGCAAUGAGUCAAGCUGUUGCAGUCCAAACUUUUCCCCAACCAUUGCCAGAACUGUGAGUUCCUCAUUUGUGCUGUAUGAUCCAGUGGCAAUAUUACAGUAAACACCAGAUGACAGUUGCUUCCCUAGGUGUUUAGCACCAGAUAACAAACUAUAAAAUGAGACUAUCUUCCGGGCCCAGCUUACAACAGAAUUUCCAUCUUUACGAAUCAAUGGUGGAAGAUCAUUAAUACUAGCUGAAUUAUAUCCAUGUAGCAAACAGUUUUCAAGCCAUCUGAAUAAACUUGGAGAAGUUUCCUGUGAAAACGAUGUUUCACAUAUUCCAACAGUUCCAGAAAGGCCAGGAAAGUCACGAAUGUAAUGGUCCACAUAACUUUCCUUACCCAGAAACUUAGCAAUAUUGCAUAAUAGAAAUCCCAGAAGCUCCAAGUCCCUGAAAAAAAAUUUAGGAGAAAAUUUAAAGCAAAUUAAAAAAAUAAUAAUAAAUAAAUAAAAACACGAGUCAAUAACUAUGUGUUUGCAAAGUUACAACUUGCACCAUGACAGAUUGCAGAUUAGUUAAGUAUAAUAGCUCAAUAUGAAAUGCCCAUAGAAACAAUCAAGUAUCAAAGAAUGAAACCCUCCGGUAAACAAUUAACAAACUGAAGCGUUAUUUUAGUGCUGACGAUCUUAAGGAUCCUGCACUGCUUAGCAUGGAAAGCAUACAAUAACGGUCUUGCAAGGUAACGCAUCAAAAGAGGCACUCCACCUAAACUAUCAAUUUUCACAAAACUUUAAGAAGGUUCAUCCAAGGUCACUCAAUCACUGCACCUCAAGUAUAUGCAAUCAAUAUCAUAAUUGCAAAAUAGUGCAUAACGCUAAAUAACUAAAAAAAUAAAAUAUUAGUAGUAAUGAUAAAAGUUAAAAUACAACAAGAUUACAAAAGAUUAAACAAACCUUUUGCGAAGACUGUUCAGUUUCAGGCUCUCAUAUACUGCAUGCAAACAAUGUAAACUCUCCAUCAACAGCUUUGGAUAAAAUGUUUUAUCUGACCUUGUUGUACCAUCUGAAUUUAUCCGAGAGGAGUCCACUCUUCGCACAUUCAAUGAUGUUACUGAAGAGUUUUCAGUAAUAAAGUUAUGUUUGCAGAAAUUGAUGUGAAAUUUACUGUGAAUAAGAAACUCCCAAGAUGACUGAGGCAUUGGAUUUGAAAUCUUUUUAGAAGUGGCACUUGAUCCACACAUUUCCAUUAUAAUGCUACAAAAGGAGUCCCAUUCCGAGUGAACACUAGAAUCAGCUUCUGCUAAAUAAGCAAGGUCACCAUCUUUCCAAAGCAGACUAAGAAAAUGGCUAUAGAAACUGGUACUUAGUCCCUCAGCCAUGGCUGUGAUGCAAUCAUUUGCCAGGGUAGAUGCAGGGCUUCUACGUAAUACACACCGAAACAUCUGAACAAUUUUGAAAAAAUAAGACCAUAAAAUAGCUGUCAUAGCAAGUAACUUAAAUUGAUAAAGAAAUCAGCAGUCACUACAAUUAUCGAGAAUAGCGCGUGUUUACAUCAGAAGGUAUGUGGACAGCAGUUUGGCUCAACAAUAAACAUGGAAACCACUUACCUUCCCAUUAUUUACAGUAACAUUGAUACGCCCCUCAACAGCAUCGACCAAUCCUAUAACCUUCAGGCCCUGAGUAACAGAAGUUGUUUCUGGAAACUCUAAAUUAUGUGAAAAUCGGCCUUCACCAAGACAAGAAGGCAACAUAUACCUACACAGGCAAUGUUUCCCCGACUGCAAAAACAAAAAAGGUUGAUUGCAUAAAUGUUGCACACUUAUGCCAGAGGUAAACACAACAUUAUAAAGAUAUUGAUUAAACAUAAGAAACGGUAAAAUAAUAGUUUCUCAAUUGAUCGAUUCAUUACUAAUAGAAUGGAAAGCAAAUUGGAAAUUCUAUUUCCCGGUACUAUUUGAACCAUUAGAGAGAAUGUGAACAAUCUAUUAACAAUGAUUCAACUGAUAUAAGCUACCAAGUUGGUAUAGCUUACAUAGAGAAGAAGGACAUUUUCAGGAGCCAGAACAAGCAUGUCUGAAUAUGGCAGCAGUCCCACUUUCGCCCUGGAAAAGUUAAUGGAGAAAAUCAUGUUCAUAUAAUUGUUAAACAGACUUGGGAAGAAAGGAAAGGGAAAGUAAACAUGAAAUGAAACCAUACCUAGGGCGGGUAACAAUCACAGGUGCUGCUGCAACUGCAGGUAUGCUCCAGCUCAUGUCAGGUUUAAUGUCAAAGAUAAUUUCAUUAUUUAUCUCAACGCUUUGAAGCCUUACACACAUCAAUUUUUUUUGUUCUUGAUGAAGAAAACAAAUAAUAGGAGCUGCAUCAUCAUCAGUCGCUAGAAAGACCUAAAAUAUAGUUUACAAAAUCAGAUGAAAGGAAAAUUCACAUGACUUAAUUAAGGUUUAUUUUAGAUACUGACUUAAUUGAUGUUUGAAUAAAAUGAAAGAAAAAAAAGCACCUUACAAGCUGCUGUGUGGGCACCCUUGCCUUGCCAUAUUCUACGAAAUGAGAAUUGCUUUGCUAGAACACCAGCAGGAACUGCAUCUACUAAACUAGCACUUGCCAUUUCAUGGUUAGAAUUACUGGUUUCCGCAACCCACACAGAAUGUUGCAUCCUUCCUGCAUAGAGAAGUGGCAAGAUUAUAUAUUAAUUUAACCCCAAAAAAAUGCAAACGGGGAAGUAACUUGGCAUAUAAGGAACCUGUAUUAUAUGAUGCCAUAAGAGGAAUUCGAUCACUUGUCCAAAUAGUAGUUUCAUCAAAUUCCUUCAUUAAGUUCAGUUUUCCUCUUUCUUCAAUAUAAGCCAACUGAAAUAUUUUCAUUAAAAAGACACGCAUCAAGAAAAAUACAAAAGAAACAAAAAACAAAAUAGCAAAGCAAAGUACAAAAUUCAAUAGCGUACGUGUGGUUCUUCUAAUGGAUCUUUCAAAAUCAGAUGUGAGGACACCGGGCUUGUUUCUCCCUUGGCGAUAUGGUCAAGUGAAGUCACAAAAUUGACAUUAUGCUGUGGACUAUGUCCACUUUCUCUUCUAGGACGAGGGAGAUCUCGUACGCCAAACAAAGUAGUCGAAGAUGAAGAAGGAGCAUGUAUAGUUGAGUUCACUUCAGCUGCCUGCUGAAGUAACAAACCAAAUGGAAGAGGCCAUACCGAUGUGAUGGUUCGAGAAAGAGGGACAGAGACUACUUCACCUAUUGGACAACAAACAAAACAACAUAUUUUGUUCAAUCUUUUCAGGAAUUUAUCGCCAAUUAAGUUUCAAAAUGGAGUAAAAUAUCUACUAGUUUUCGCACCUGAUGUGUUGUAGAUUGUUAAACAAGCAACUUGUAAAACGCAUAGAAGCGCUUCGGUCAUAUCCCCCAAGCGACACCAGCAAGCCUGGAUUUAUAUAUACAAACAAAUUUCCAUUACCAAAACAAAUGUAUAUCACCAGAAAAGCAAAUUCAGGAAAAAUGUAUGUACCGUGAUUACUGGAGACGGCAAUGUGAAUCUCUUAAACACUCGCGGACCAGUUGACCAUAUUAUCCUGUUACAUUACGGCAAAUAUGUUUCAGAAUUCCACAUCACACUCACUGCAUUUUCAAUUUUAAUUUAAAUUCAAUUUUCUACUCCAUUUUCCGAGCAACCAAACAGAAACAAAAAAAAAAUUGCAGAAAUUACCGAUUUCCUCGAAUGAACAACUCGUGAUCGCACCGAUCGCUCAGCGCGGAGGCCGAAGAGUCAUUGUCAUCCGUUUCGUCUAGUUCUCGGACGGUUUCGGGGUCAAAGAGGAAGUAAUCGUACUUGUCGGUGACGUUAUCGGCGGGCUUACCGUCGAGAGCUUCGGCGAUUAAUCCGAACGGCUUGAACUCGCCGAGCACCGUGAGGCGGCGAACGGCCAACGGCGACAUUUAGAGGGGUUAGUGAGAGAUUGAGCUCAGUGGACUGAGAGACUGUCUCCCGCUCUUUUUUUUUUGCUGUGUAUGGUGAAUAACGGGUGGGAAUUUGGGGAGAUUGGGGUUUAAACCCUAGAGUUUUAGCCGUUUGGUUGCGUGGACAAUUUUGUUCCAGUGAAGCAUAGGAAUAUAAUUGUUCUGGCUCUGGUUAACUUUAUAUUGAUGGUAUGCUGAGUUGGAUGUGUCCGUUAUUCAUUAUAAAUUCGCGGCAUCAUCGUUACGGAGAAAUUAUUAGAUAGUAUUGUACUAACACAUCAUCUGUGAUACUCUCUUUUUUCUUGAACAAAUGAUACUCGUUCUUUAAAUUUGAUAUCUGAACUAUUUUAUCACAACUGGAUUUAUAGUUUACUUCACGAAUUAAAAAUAAAUUAAAUACUUGAAAAUACAAAAACCCAGCGACCACCUACAGCGCAAGGGGGGCGGAGAUUAUGAGGCAGCAGACCAAGGGCGCUUAGAUGGGGCAAGUGCCCUUGGUCUCCAGCAUCGACACCGUGUUUUGCCCGCACAAGUGAUCACUCAGGUAGUUCGCACCAAUGUUGGUACAGACACGUCCUUCACCGUUUAGGUUUUGACCUCGAAGCCCUUAAAUCACAAGCCAAAACACACAAAAAAUAAUCAAAAUUUUGAAUCUGUUGUGGAAAAAAAAAAUGUAAAAUUAGCAAAUCAAAUGAGGAUCAAUUGGGAGGAUUUUGUUGGGAUCGGACAUAGCUAUACAAUAUGAACAAAAAAUCUCAGUUUUGGUUUUGAUUACUUCAAAACCGCACCGAAUUGUAAAGCAAAAAAGUAAAAUUAACAAAUCAAAUGAGGAUCAAUUAGGAGGAUUUUUGUUGGGAUCGGACAAAGCUAUACAAUAUGAACAAAAAAUCUCGGUUUUGGUUUCGGUUACACUAAAAAACGCACCACAGUGAACCGUGUCUAUCCCUAGAAACAUUGUACAAGUGACAAUAUGUGUGAAAACUAUGUGACUUUUAUUGUGUUCAACUUUCUUUCUUUUUUAUAGUAUUCCCACCAUAAUAGUUAUAACCAUCAUUUAGUAUUUGAAAGUAGAACACUUUUUCAACUUUUUAUGACAAAUAUUAUUAGAAGUUAAAACAUUAAUAUAACACAAUGGUGGAGAAGAGUAUUGUCUUUGCACCACGAUUUGAAUUCGAAUCUCGUCGGCUCCCUAAUCGCAUCUAAUAUAACAAAUAUAUCGUUCAAAAAAUUAAAACACUUUGUGUUUGUCUAAAAUCACUUUCAAAUUUGCCAUAACUUGAACUACUUAAGCUAAGUUUGUGAUUCAGGUGCUAAUAAUAGACGAUGAAUAAGCAACUCGUGUUUUCAAUGUCAAUUAGCAAAUUAAAUAAUAUUGCCUUUAUUAAUUAAUUACCAUGUGUCCCUUACGGAUUGGUGGAGGAUAUAAUUUUUUGUGUUCACCACCACCACGCACUAAUUGAAAAUAGGUUUGUCUGUGGCAGAUCAUGUUUUUAUUUUUUUAUUUUUAUUUUUUUGGAAACUAUGGCAGAUUAUGGGAUGGUUUGCGAGUGAGGUGCUUAAAAAAAAAACAUCCAUGAAAAAAAACUAUGAGAGUUUUAGGUGUUUGGUAAACUAAAAAAAAUGGUUUAUUUUGGAAGCUAUUGUGAGAAUAAGCUGAAAUCAAAAUAAAAAGCUAAAGCUGCUAUUUGCAGCUUUGGAAAACUGGCUUUUUUUCAAAGCACACGGAGUUACAGUGCUCCUUUAAUGAAAAUAUCCACUAUCAGACUGCUUUUUUUUCUAAAAGCACUUUUACAAAAAAGUUUACCAAACACUCCGCUAAUUUAUUUCACAGCCGCUUAUUCUCACAUCACAACCGCUUAUUCUCACAGCAGCCUUUUUUCAAAGCACAGCAAUACCAAACCAGCCCUAUGUUUAACACAUACUCCCAAAUACAAGUUUUCUCCCCGUUCAUUUGUAACGCAUGACGUCAUGAGUCACGUUUUAUUCGUGUGUAAAAGGAAAAGGGAAAGAGUACUGGAGUGGACUAAUAAGUUUGCUAAGCAAUGUUCAAGCACUUCAUGCAUAAAACAUUGACCAAAACGCAAACCUUGUCAAACAUGUUAUAUUACAACUCAAUUAUUGUACCACUCAAAUUAACCAAUAAUGAUGUUUUUGAACACAAUAAAUGAUAGUUUUGAUAGUUUAUCUAAUGGAGCGCAUGGAACCGUCAAAAUUAUAGAAGCAAGAAAUUUUGUGUGUAAAAAUAAUAUCAGCAUAUAAAAAUAGCGGAUUGUUUUAGUAGCUGAAGUUUUUUUUUUUUUUUGACCUAAUGUGUUUUGAGUUCAAAUAUUUCUCCUCUCGUUAAUAUAAAUUAGUAUAAAAUAUCGUUCGUAAUAAGAAAAAUAAUAUAAGUAGGAAAGAAGAUUUGAAAAAAGAAAAAUCAUUUGCAUCAAUAACGUCAACUUAUUUUUACCAUAUUUUUAAGGGAAUUAUUAUUAACACUCUAAAAUUUUCAUUGUACACUUCUCAUAAAUGUAUUUUUUUAAUUAUAGAAAAUUUUGAGUUCAAAAUGAGAUUUUUAAAAUGACAAUAACAAUUUGUUGUUUAAGAUAGCAAUCCAAAUGGUUUAUAUUUAGCAUGAGUCCAAGACCAAGCCGCAUUCUCACACCCCAUUGUAAUGAGGUGUAUUUUGCAUACAACAUCUCCACAUAAACCUUAACAUUAUAGGACGAUCUUUUGCAGACACAUGCAAAAUCAUGAGAAAUUGUUCUGAAUGCCAAUAAUACGGUCUAGUAUGUUAAGUGUCAUAAUAUAAUUGGUUAGAAAUUUUGAGAAAAACAAAUAAACCAAUUGUAUUAUGACAUUAAAUUUAACGUGUUGUGUUCCCACCAGACUGAAAAUUCUUCAAAAUCAUAUCAGAAGGAGGGGGUGCCAGGUUGCCUUUACGUACUUGUUGGUUCCUAACAUUCCAAACAUCGAUUAGCUGCAAUUAAUACAUAGACUUUAAGAUUCGGACAAAUUUUCAAAGAUUUACACACUUGUUGGUUUCUAUCAUCGCAAACAUCGAUUAAUAGCAAUCUAAUACAUUGUGCGUUUAACUUUUGUACAACUUUUAAGGAUGAAAUUCUGUUUAUUAAAUAGAAACCAUAACAUUUCGAACUAGAGAAUAACAUGACUUGAGGGAAAAAAUACUUACAUGGAUGUGUUCGACAUUGUCAACUCAGACACUUUUCACAACCAACCGAGAGAUACGAAUUGGAGCCUUCAAUUUUUUCGUAGUAUAUCAGAUUUACAUUGUUUUGUGUGUGAAGAUCAAUAACCACGAAUGAUUUACGUUACUUAAUUUGUGUUGUUUACGUGUUAAAUUUAAAAAAUUUGCCGCAUGCGAGGAGGUGUGUCGAGAGUAUAAACUAUACAUUAGAUAAAUAAGUUUGUUUGUGCUUAUAAGUAGUUAGGUUAUUCCACACAUAUUAUCAAUUGAUUUUAUGGUGAAACUUCAUACAAACAACACAAAAUGGAUGACGUGGUGAACCAUACGUGAUCGUUAUAUUUCACGCGUGAGUAAGCUCUGAUACCAUGACAUGACAGAAGUUGAAGUUCCACCAAUAUGUAAAUAAAUUGGCAAUAUAAAUAGUAGCACAAAUUUUAUGGCUAGUUUGGGAUUACUGGGUUUUAUUCAAAAUUGCUUAAGCUGUGAUGUGAGAAUUAAACAGUUAUUAAAAAAAAUAUGUUUGGUAAAAUAUAAAACUAAAAGUGCUUUUAUCAAAAAAAAAAAACAGGGAUUGAAUUGUCAAUACGUUAGUUUCAUUAAUUGGUAUUGUUCACAUGCAUUUAAUAAAAAAAUGCGUUUUUUUUAAAGCAUGCGUAGAAAUGAUUUUAUGUAACAUCUCAUAUCGCCCAGGGGAGUGGAUCAUGUAAGCUUUAUAUUCACAUCUCUUCUUAGCACGACGCAUUUUUGGAGCUCACUAUCUUUGGAUUCCAUCGAAACUCCAAAGUUAAGCGAGUUCGUGCGAGAGCAAUCUCAGGAUGGGUGACCCACUGGAAAGUUCUGCUCGCGUAAGUUCCCAUAAACAAAACGUGAGGGCAUGGUAGGGGCCCAAAACGGACAAUAUCAUGCUACGGUAGAGUCGAGCCUGAGAUGUGGUUGAGGCCCAAGUCGGGAUGUGACAAUUUGGUAUCAGAGCCAAUCCCUGGCCGAAUGUGUGCCAACGAGGACGUCGAGCCUCUAAUGAGGGUGGAUUGUAACAUCCCACAUCGUCCAGGGGAGUGGAUCAUAUAAGCCUUAUAUGUAUAUUCUCAUCUCUUCCUAUCACGAGACCUUUUGGGAGCUCACUGGCUUCGGGUUCCUUCGGAACUCUGAAGUUAAGCGAGUUCGCGCGAGAGCAAUCCCAGGAUGGGGAUGGGUGAUCUAAUUGGAAGUUCUGCUCGUGUGAGUUCCCAGAAACAAAACCAUGAGGCGUGGUCGAGCCCAAAGCGGAUAAUAUCGUACUACGGUGAAGUCGAACCCUGGAUGUGGUGGAGGCCCGGGCCGGAAUGUGACAUUUUACCUUUUGCUGUUUUGAACUCGUGAUUUUGAAAAUAAAUAAAUAAAUAAUUUCCAUUUACCAAACACAACUAAGACCCUAAUUUUUUUUUUAAGAAGUUGCUUUUAAAAAAUUUUAACAACCCCAAAUCAACCAUUAAUAAGAAAAUAUAAAGUUCAUUUUUUCUCUAAUAUGUGAUUAUUAUCAACAAAUCUCACCCAUCGAUACAAAAUUCUCCCUUAAACAUAAGAGUGUCCUACAAUUAACAACUUUCUUAUAGGACAUUAGUAUGAUUUAUCAAUAAAUGUCAAGGAGACUUUUUCAUAAAUGCAACUUGCUGUCAUUUCAUACUUUUACUUAAAGUUUUAUAAUAUUAGCACGAAUAACGUUAAAUUAUAAGAUAACAGAGAAUCUAUAAAGAGUUUCAUUCUAAAAAAGUCUCGCUGACAUUUCUCAUAUCAAGUAUGAUCUAGUAGGUUGGUCCCAUGCAAUAUAAUAUUGGCGCGCGCGCCAUCGACUAGGGACUGCAGUUGCAAACGUAUCCGUAACAGAUAGCUUGAAGCUGGAAGCACAGAAACUCCUUGAAACUCUACCCACCGACGGAACCAACAAGAACCCGCCUUGUGCAAGUGAAUUUUCUUUUUUCUUUUGGGUCCGAAAUUAAUAAGAAAGUAAUAAAAAAGUUAUAAAAGUGAGAAAAAAGGGGGAAAGGAUGGGAUGCUGAAUAUUGACAGGGUACAAGUAAGCUUUAUUGACCGUUGAACAACGUACUGGCCUUAAAAUAACCACCACACACUCCAUUAGAACAUUUCACGACUUUCCUUGUCUCUUUUUGUUAAUUACUGUUUGGAUCCAAAUUUACACCAUCGGUCCGUGUAAUCAAGGUCGUUAAGUAAACAUAGUUCUCAACCGUCGGAUGGAAAAGUGGGGAUAAUUUUUAUUGUUAAAGGAUAAUAUUAUGAUUUUUAUCAUAAUAUUUAUCGUUUAAAAAAUUAUCUUGAUAUUUUCUUGUACAAGAUGAGGUGCUGUUUGGGCCCAAAAUAAUAGUUUGGGCCGAGUAUAGAAUCAUUCUCGGCCCGGAAGGCCUUGCGACAAGAAUACCAUGGAUCGUUUAGUACGUGGGCCUCCAAACCUAGGUCGGCUAGGUCAUAACGCAAGAAGUCGAGUCCUAAUGCAAUGAGGAGUCUCGGCAAGACCCGGAAGCGAAUCCGGCUCGGUUAAGGACUAGGUUCACAAUCCUAGUGAAAGUAGGACUGGUCGAGUUGGUACUGAUCAGGAGAAGAAGACCUAGUCCGAGUAGGUUUUUAACUCGACCUUGGGGGGGCCGUUGCUAUAAAUAGAAGAGACUGCGCAUCAUUCUAGAGCCCUGCAAAAAACAAUACAAAACUGCCCUGCGCAAACUCAACAACUUUGAGAUUUUUUCUUUCUUUUUCGCUGACACAUCUUCCGUUGGCAUCAACAGCACUGUGAAAGCAACCGGUGAUAUCUUAAGUCGGCAUAGAUAGCUCUGUCACCGUAGAAUCAGCCGGUCUCGCAGCAUCUUCCGUUGGCAUCAACAACACUGCGGCGAGGACGGUUGAUUACCUAUCCAAGUCUCGGUCGAGAAGGAUUUCUGAAUCCUUAUUGGUCGAGGUCAUCUCAUCAGCCUUCUCGGCAAAGUGAGGUGUUACAGUUAUUACAUUCGGCACAUUGAAAGCCGAAUUUGAUAUUGAACUUCGUAAGAAUAGUAACCUUGUCUUCAGGUUCGAGAGCCCAAGAGGCCGAGACGUGUUCCUUUCUUGGCCGCAAUCGCAAGACGUAGAAGUCAGCCGCGCACCCAACGCAACAUCAACAAAAUUUACUCCUCGGCCGAGCUCAGCCGACGAGUUGGCACGCCCCGCAUUCACCGAAGGACGUAGUUAGCUUAUAGAUUACUCGGCAUGUGCGCCACGUAGGCUUGGUAGUUUCUAGGGUCAACAAUUACAAAUUCGAUCCCUACAUUGUAAUGGUUAUUCCAAUUUGAUCUUUGACUUUCGAAUUGUCUCAAGUUGGACCUUUAAUUAUCUAAAAUAAGAGGAAAGAUUUGAACUUGAAUGCAGAGAGAGCAGUUAUUAUCGUAGUCAAUUUGACUAUUUGUUUCUACAAUUGUUACAUAACUUUUUAAUUUUAAAUUAGAAAAAAUUGACAUUAGUUAUAAAACUCAACAAGAUUACUAAUAAGUAAAAUUUAGUUUGACAGAAUUUUUUUUUUUAGUGAAACAAACAAUGAUAUCAACUAUGACAAAAAGGAGCCUUUCGAAUCAUCACCACUUGUGUGUUGAAGGAGAUUGGUUAGUCAUUUUGAGAACUAAUGAAUCACAAAAAUGAUCACGUAAAUAAGACACUUACAUAUAAAUCAUAUUAUUCAGCCAAAUCAGAUAUUGUCAAUUUUCUUAAGAUCAAAACUAACAAUUCUAGUUGGUCAAAUCUAAUACCGGUUAAGGAAAACAAGUCCAAACUUGAUUUGGUUGGUUUAAUUUAUAUGAUUUACAACCUAGUCGUAAGUAGUAACCUACUAGUAGAGGGAAAACAUUUUGGUCAAAAUAGAUGGGUUAAGAAAAUGUCAAACAAAUUCUCAUAUUAUAUGCUAAUAUUUGGAACGAAAACGAUUUCUUGCUCUUAUCAAAUCCAUUCGAAAGUUUAGAGUUAAUUAUGAAGAGCUUGUAACUAAAGUGAUAAAAAAUAUUUAAAUUUUUACUCGAUGUUAUAAGUUCAAUUCUAUACUCCCUUGAGAUAGAAUUUAGGACUAAUUUGAGACAAAAAAAAUUAUAAGACUAGAACCAGAAAAACCUCAAAAAUUUAGGGGACAAAUGUGAGAUCAAACCUAAUUAUUCUUGUAAUAUUUGAAUUCGACAUUCUAAAGAUACAAUAGGCGGCACACCCUUUACACGCUCCCCCUCCAUUUCUGACUAAAUCCCAAAACCAAAGUAGGUCAACAUAAGUCAAUUCAAUUCCCAAAUAAACAAAUUACGACCCAGUCGUUCUGACUUUACUUUAUACUAGCCUCUUGUCACGCACAGUUAAUUACGAGAUUUUGUUUUGUAUUUUUAUUUAUUUUUUAAUUAUAAUUUAAAUAUUAUGAAAGUUUCGCUUAUUUUACUUCUCCCUAUAUAUACACCCCCUCCAUUUCCCGCUGUCGACCAAAUCACACACAGCAAAGUGUUGGUAUAUGGUCCAGCCCAUGAUCAAUGUUCUAGAUUAUUCUAGUAAGCAAGAGAUGAGGCUGGAGCUUGCUAGACAAUUCUAGAAUGUUAUUAAGUUGAUGGAAGAAGCUAGAGAGUACUAGCUUCCUUGGUUGCAAAUGGAAAGAUCUAGAAGCUACAAGUAUAUGGCUAGUCUAGAUUUUUCUAUACUAGAGGUUUGAAGAAGGAACUAGAAACUAGUAGAAUGCCAAGCCCUCACCUAUAAAUAUGGGUGUGAUGUAACCAAUUGAGAACCAAGAGUGAGUAGCAAAGGAUCAAGUCCAAAGCUAGAGUUCCACUCCAAGAGUGAGAGUGAGAGUGUUCCACUACACAUUGUGUGAGUGAAGUUUAGAGUGAUAGAAAGUGUGUGUUAUACUUUCUUGUAUCCAUCAAGCCUUGUCUUUGGCUUGGUAAGACUACUCUUGUUGUAUUCAUCUUUUUUCAUAUAGUGAAGAUUCCUUGUUUGGUGGACGUAGGCAUAAAUUGCCGAACCACAUAAAUUCUUGGCGUCCAUUUUCUACUUUACCUUGUGCAUUCUCUAUCUUGUAGUACCGACAUUCCUAACAAGUGGUAUCAGAGCCCGGUUGGCUCGUACUACGAGAUGGAAGGAAGUGGCACUAUGAUCAAACUCACCAACUCCAAUUGGGUAACAUGGAAGCCAAGGAUGGAGGACAUUCUCUAUUGCAAGGAUUUGCAUGAGCCAAUUGAAGGAGAUGCCGCUAAGCCCGAGAGCAUGUCCGAUGCCGAGUGGAAGAAGAUGAAUCGCAAGGCUAUUGGCACAAUUAGACAAUGGGUGGAUGAUAGUGUUUUUCACCAUGUGUCUAAUGAAACCAAUGCUCGCGAGUUUUGGACGAAGCUUGAGUCCUUGUUCGAGAAGAAGACCCCAGCCAAGAAAGCCUUCUUGAUCAAAGAGCUCAUCAAUGUGAAGUACAAGGAUGGUUUAAGUGUAGCAGAACACUUGAACAAUUUCCAGAAUAUCAUCAACCAGUUGGCUACUAUGAAAAUGACGAUCGAGGACGAGCUACAAGCGCUCUUGUUACUUGGAUCCUUGCCAGACAGUUGGGAGACCUUUGUGGUGAGUAUAAGUAACUCUGCUUCUAAUGGUGUUCUUACUCUUGAUAAUGUUAAAAAUAGCAUGCUCAAUGAAGAAACAAUGAGAAAGACUUCUGGCACAGAUAGCAGCCAAGUAUUUGUCACAGAGAACCGCGGAAGAAGCAAGAGUAGAGGGCCUAGAGGUCAUGGCAGGAGUCCUAGCCGAUCCAAGUCAAGGUUCAGGGGUGCAUGCCACCAUUGUGGCAAAGAAGGCCAUAUGAAGAAAAAUUGUCGAGUUUGGAAGAGAGAGCAAAGGGAAGGAAACAAUCAGAAGAAAGAUGAUACUGGCAAUACCACCGCUGUCAUAUGUGGUGAUGUACCAGAAAUAUUGUCUGUUGGUGAAUGUCUGCAUAUGGGCAACUCUGACAGAGACAUUGAAUGGAUCUUUGAUAAUGGAGCUUCCUUCCAUGCUACGUCCAAACGGGAGUUCUUCAGUACAUACAAAGAAGGUGACUUUGGCAUAGUGAAGAUGGGGAAUGAAAGCUAUUCCAAAAUUCUUGGAAUUGGUGAUAUCUGCUUAAGAACUAAAUCUCGGCUGCCAAUUGAUGUUGAAAGAUGUGAGACAUAUUCCUGAUAUACGUCUCAAUCUGAUAUCCAUCGGUACCCUUGAUCGACAAGGAUAUUAUCACCAUAUUGGCGAAGGAAAAUUGAAGCUUACUAAAGGCUUAAUGGUGGUAGCAAGAGCACGACUUUGUUGUACGUUGUACCGGUCAAAUGCCAAGGUUUUGAAAGGUGAGUUGAAUGCUGUGGAAGACUCAUCUCUAGACUUGUGGCAUAAGAGGCUAGGCCACAUGAGCGAGAAAGGCCUACAAGUUUUGGCAAAGAAGUCUCAUAUUCCCUUUGCCAAAGGUACGUCGUUAAACUCUUGUGAGCAUUGUUUAUUCGGAAAACAAAGAAGAGUUAGUUUUUCUGUUCCAUCUACAAAGAAAGGAAACUUGUUAGAUCUUGUUUAUUCAGAUGUGUGUGGUCCCAUGGAAGUCGAGUCACUUGGAAGAAAUAAAUAUUUUGUUACUUAUAUUGAUGAUGCUUCACGAAGGGUGUGGGUGUAUUUGUUGAAAUCCAAAGACCAGGUGUUUUAGACAUUCCAGGAGUUCCAUGCCAUGGUGGAGAGGGAAAUUGGGAAACCUCUCAAGUGCCUUCGUAGCGACAACGGCGGCGAGUACACAUCUCACCAGUUUAGAGAGUAUUGUGUAAAAAUGGCAUACGUCAUGAGAAGACAGUUCCUGGAACUCCACAACAUAACGGUGUUGCUGAAAGAAUGAACCGAACCAUCAUGGAGAAAGUCAGGUGUAUGUUGAGGACUGCAAAGUUAUCUAAGCAGUUCUGGGGUGAAGCUGUAAGGACAGCCUGCUAUUUGAUCAACCGAUCUCCAUCAGUACCAUUAGGUCUUGAUGUUCCAGAGAGAGUAUGGACUGGUAAUGAUGUGUCUUACUCUCAUCUGAAGGUGUUUGGUUGCAAAGCUUUUGUGCAUGUGCCCAAAGAGCAGAGAUCGAAGUUAGACUACAAAGCUACACCGUGCAUCUUUCUUGGUUAUGGCGGUGAAGAUUUUGGUUACAGAUUAUGGGACCCAUACCAGAAGAAGUUUAUCCGAAGUAGAGACGUGGUCUUUUAUGAAGAACAAACAAUUGGGGAUUCGGAUAAAGAGGCACAACCAGAUGGCGCAGUCAGAGGAGUUGAUCCAUUAGCUUCAGAUGAAGAAAGUCACGAUGACAUCCCUGAAGCAACUGCCAAUGAAGUGCCUGCAGAAUCAGAUAAUGCUAAUCAAGAGGAGCCUGAUCAAGAUGUGCCAGACCAUGAGAUUGCUGAUCAGGGGGAGCCUAGUCAAGAAGAGCAGAUUCAAGGAGAACCCAAUCAGGGGGAGCCUCCAGCCCUACAAGAGAAUGAAGAUCAGGUCAGAAGAUCCAUCAGAAGUCGAAGACCGUCUACCAAGUAUUCUUCAUCAGAGUAUAUCAUGUUGACUAAUUAUGGAGAGCCCGAAACAUAUGAGGAGGCCAGAGCUCAUAACGACAGUGACAAAUGGAUGAAGGCAAUGGAGUCGGAGAUGGAUUCCUUAUCAAAGAAUGAUACCUAUGAGCUGGUGGAGCUUCCAAAUGGCAGGAAAGCAUUGAAAAACAAGUGGGUGUUCAAAUUGAAAAGAGACGACAACAUGACAAGGUACAAGGCUCGUUUGGUUGUCAAAGGUUUUGGUCAAAAGAAAGGAGUUGACUUUGAUGAGAUUUUCUCACCGGUGGUGAAGAUGACUUCCAUUCGAGUUAUCCUUGGUAUGGCAGCAAGCAUGGAUCUUGAGCUCGAGCAGUUAGAUGUUAAAACUGCAUUUCUCCACGGCAAUUUAGAAGAGGAGAUAUACAUGGAGCAACCCAAAGGCUUUGAAGUCAAAGGUAAAGAAAAUUUGGUGUGCAAGCUUAAGAAAAGUUUAUAUGGUCUUAAGCAGGCUCCGAGACAGUGGAAUAAGAAGUUCAACUCAUUCAUGGUGAGUAAUGGGUACAAGAGAACUCAUGCUGACUCUUGUGUCUAUAUCAAACAAUUUUCUGGAGGUACAUUCAUCAUCUUAUUGCUUUAUGUUGAUGACAUGUUGAUUGUCGGACAAGAUGCUUCUAUGAUUAAAAAGCUCAAAGAAGAGUUAUCUAAGUCCUUUGACAUGAAGGACUUAGGGCCAGCCAAGCAGAUUUUGGGCAUGGAGAUAAUUCGUGACAGAAAAUCCAAGAAGUUGUGGCUGUCACAAGAAAAGUAUGUUGAACAGGUGCUUGAAAGGUUCAACAUGAAAGCAGCCAAACCGGUAAGCUCACCUUUAGCCAAUCAUAUCAAGUUGAGCAAAGAGUCAUGUCCAAAAAACAUAUGAAGAAAAGGAGAAAAUGGCAGUUGUUCCCUACUCUUCAGCAGUAGGAAGUAUCAUGUAUGCAAUGGUGUGCACACGGCCAGAUAUUGCUCAUGCAGUAGGUGUGGUGAGCAGGUUUUGAGCAGGUUUCUCUCUAAUCCAGGGAAGGACCACUGGGAAGCUGUUAAGUGGAUUCUCAGAUAUUUGAAAGGGACUUCUAAGAUGUGCUUGUGCUUUGGCGGUUCCAAACCAAUCUUGGAAGGAUUUACAGAUGCUGACAUGGGAGGUGACCUGGAUGGUAGAAAAUCUACGUCUGGGUACUUGUUUACUUUUGCAGGGGAGCCGUGUCUUGGCAAUCCAAGUUACAAAAGUGCAUUGCUUUGUCCACAACCGAGGCUGAAUACAUAGCCGCUACAGAAGCAUGCAAGAAGUUGUUGUGGCUGAAGCGGUUUCUCCAAGAGUUGGGUUUGAAGCAAAGUGAUUAUGGCGUUUAUUGUGAUAGUCAGAGUGCUCUGGACUUGAGCAAGAACACUACAUAUCAUUCACGCACUAAGCACAUUGAUAUUUGUUAUCACUGGAUUAGAGACGCUAUCGAGAACAAGUUGCUGCAGCUGAAGAAGAUUCAUACCGAUAAUAAUUCUUCAGACAUGUUGACAAAGGUAGUCACAAAAUCAAAGUUGGAAUUCUGCAUUAAGGCUGCUGGGAUGAACUCCAGGUAACUUGGAGUCAUGAUCGGAAUUCCUCCCUCAUGGACUGGAGGGGGAGAUUGUUGGUAUAUGGUCCAGCCCAUGAUCAAUGUUCUAGAUUAUUCUAGUAAGCAAGAGAUGAGGCUGGAGCUUGCUAGACAAUUCUAGAAUGUUAUUAAGUUGAUGGAAGAAGCUAGAGAGUACUAGCUUCCUUGGUUGCAAAUGGAAAGAUCUAGAAGCUACAAGUAUAUGGCUAGUCUAGAUUUUUCUAUACUAGAGGUUUGAAGAAGGAACUAGAAACUAGUAGAAUGCCAAGCCCUCACCUAUAAAUAUGGGUGUGAUGUAACCAAUUGAGAACCAAGAGUGAGUAGCAAAGGAUCAAGUCCAAAGCUAGAGUUCCACUCCAAGAGUGAGAGUGAGAGUGUUCCACUACACAUUGUGUGAGUGAAGUUUAGAGUGAUAGAAAGUGUGUGUUAUACUUUCUUGUAUCCAUCAAGCCUUGUCUUUGGCUUGGUAAGACUACUCUUGUUGUAUUCAUCUUUUUUCAUAUAGUAAAGAUUCCUUGUUUGGUGGACGUAGGCAUAAAUUGCCGAACCACAUAAAUUCUUGGCGUCCAUUUUCUACUUUACCUUGUGCAUUCUCUAUCUUGUAGUACCGACAUUCCUAACACAAAGAACACUCAACAGAGAAAGAAAAUUUGAUAAAAUCCCCCCCCCCCCCCCCCCCCCCCCCAAAAAAAAAAGAAAUCCACACAGAGAAAAGCAAAAUAAUGCCUUGCGCUUUGGUGGUGCCGAACUCGCCGAUUUGUUCGCCGUCGCAAAUUCCCUCCCAUUUUUUCCGGUCGUCGGCUUUAGCUUCCCCUUCUGCCUGUUCUUUACCUAGAGUCCUCCAUGGCGCGCCUCCCACACCGUCGCGGUCGCCGGCUUUGACGACGCCGGCUUUUGAGUCUCGGUUUCAGAGGCAGGAGAUAAGCGAGUGCCAGAAGCAGGCUUCGGGUUUGGCUCUGAAGAGGAAGAGGCCGAGGAUGAUUGAUAUUCCGGUGGCGCCUUUGGUGAAUUUUAAGGUGGAGUCGAGUGAGGGUGCGGCGGAGAGAGUGGAGGUGCUGGAGGUUGAUGAGGAUGUGUAUUCGGUUUAUUGUAAGAGGGGGAGGAGAGGUCCAAUGGAGGAUCGUUACUCUGCCGUUGUCGAUCUUCACGAUGAUUCGAGACAGGUAAAUUGUGAUUAUUUCGCUCUCAAUUUUCUGUUUGUUUCCCAGGAAAAUUUCACAAAUGGAAAUUAGUAUCUUUACUAGAAACUUCAAGCAUUUAGCUUUGAUUAGAUUGUUUUACAAUUUUAUUUGGAGUGGAGCUUCAACUGAGAAAAUUUAGGAUGAAAUCAAAAGUACAAGAAUUGGGUUUCUAUAACUUUUGAGAAAGAUAUAAAAUUGUGGAAUUUAUGUUUUUGAAUUCGCUGUUCGAAUUCGUUCUGAUUAGAUUAUGUGACUACAGGCAUUCUUUGGUGUGUUUGAUGGGCAUGGAGGAGCAAAAGCAGCUGAAUUUGCAGGCAAGAACUUGACUAAAAACAUUGCGGAUCGUUUGACGGGUGAAAGUGAAGAGGAAAUCGUGGAAGCAGUCAAAGAUGGUUAUCUAACCACCGAUGUCGAGUUUCUGAAGGAGGAUGUUGCUGGCGGCGCAUGCUGUGUGACUGCCUUGAUACAAAAGGGUAACCUUGUGGUGUCCAGUGCCGGUGACUGUCGUGCUGUUAUGAGCCGAGGAGGGGUUGCCGAGGCCCUUACAUCCGAUCAUCAUCCUUCAAGAAUAGAUGAAAGGGAAAGGAUUGAGACCACGGUGAGCAUUCAAAUAUGUGCACAUGGAUCCGAGGAUUUGAUAUUCGUACGUCAAGAUUGAAAUGGAAGAUCGUGGACUUUGUCGCUGAUUGGAUUUUGCGAUUUUUGUUUUGCAGGGUGGUUAUGUAGAUUGUUGCCGCGGUGUUUGGAGAAUUCAGGGAUCUCUUGCUGCUUCGAGAUCAAUUGGAGAUAGACAGCUUAAAGAAUGGGUGAUAGCAGAACCAGAGACUAAAGUCUUGAGAAUAGACCCCGAAUGCGAGUUUUUAAUGUUAGCUUCUGAUGGCCUUUGGGACAAGGUAAUUUUAGAACUAAGCUCAUUCAUUCCGCUUCACGUGUCUUCGUUUAGAGUCAUUACUUCGGAAUUACCAAAAUCUAAUACGAAGUUUUCAUCUCUCUUUUCCAGGUUACUAAUCAAGAGGCGGUAGAUAUAGUUCGCCCUUUAUGCGUUGGUGUUGAUAAGCCGGAGCUCUUUUCUGCUUGCAAGAAGCUCGUUGAUCUGUCAAUAACGAGAGGUUCCAUGGAUGAUACAAGUGUGAUGAUAGUCCAAUUAGGUCGUUUCGUUUUAUGAUAAUUGACCUUUUUCUUGCACUGCAAGUAAAGUUUUGAAGAAAGUUGCAGAAAGGAAGGCAGGAGGACAAUUCUUCUGGGAUUUGGUACCAAAGUAAGUUCCUUUAUAUCAAUGGUAGAAAACGAAUGCAGGAAAGCCAUGGUGCAGAAAAGCAACAAUCGUAGGAUCAAUUGUAAAUGAAAAUUUGUAUGCUCGCCGGAGAUUUUGUCUCGGCUGUAGGAAGAGGGUACUAGAAGCACGUUACACGUUACGAUAAUUGUAAUUUUUCCAAAUUUAUAAUAAAUGAUCAAAUGCUUACCCUUUAAGCUCAGUUUCUAUUUCUGUUUUACUGCAUAAGUAGCUUAAUCGUUUAUUUACGAUUUGUCACUUUGUGGUCUUAACGAAUUCAACACGUUAUAAUUUGAGUACAACAGUAAUUAUUCUGUAGUGGUCUGCUUUAGUACGUUGAACAAGGUUUUGGCUUUGUCUUGUUUAAGUCAACUUCUAGAGCACGUGCUUUUAUUUUGGUUAAACUGUUGUUGGACCAGGUCACGGUCCUGUUUGGCAGCUGCGGCCUGCAUGCAUAGUAUGCACUUGUUUUAGUGUUAAAAUUCAAUAAAAAUAAUAUUAUGUGGGUGAAUUCGGACGUAGUCACCACCAGUCUAUUUAGACUUCGCCUUUGCAUUAGAAAAUUUAGAACAUGCACUAAUCAAGUGAUUUGUGACUGUGUUAGUGGACAUCACACACUCCAUUAGAACAUUUCACGACUUACCUUGUCUCUUUUUGUUAAUUACAAAUUCGAUCCCUACAUUGUAGUGGUUAUUCCAAUUUGAUAUUUGACCAUCUAAUCGUCUCAAGUUUGACCUUUAAUUAUCUAAAAUAAGAGGAGAGAUUUGAACUUGAACGCAGAGAAAUAAGUUAUUACCGUAGUCAAUUUGACUAUUUGUUUCUACAAUUGUUCCAUAACUUUUUAAUUUUAAAUUAGAAAAAAUUGACGUUAGUUAUAAAACUCAACAAGAUUACUAAUAAGUAAAAUUUAGUUUGACAGAUUUUUUUUUUUAGUGAAACAAUGACACACCCCGAUCCUAGAAUCAAGGCGUGUUGGCCGUCACGUGAGUGUGACGUAACCAAAAGUGCGACGCGGAAGCAAUAGAUAAGAGAAAUACGAAGAAAUAAAAAAAAAACAAAUACUAGCAAUAAUAUCCAACUGGCAUGCUAGAAUGAGUUUAAGUGUGAAACACAUAUAUUCAGAGCAUAAGUACUAGGUGCAGUCAAGUAGGACCAUAACUAAAUUACAACACCCGAAAGUGAGUCCUACAUUUAUGUAGUAUGUCAGUACGUCAUGGGAAUCCUCGUGGGCCACCAACGCUGUUAACUAGAACCUGGAGGGGCGCAAAACAAAAUUGAGUGGGUCAGUAAAACAAAGCUUUUUGAAAACAUUUCAAUUAAUAACAUUUCUAACCCCUCGCUGUAAAACAUGUAUACUUUCCCAGAAAAUAACAUAAUAUACAUAUAAAUCUUCAUAUAUCUCAAAUCACAAAUCUUUAUCCAAUAACAAAAAGUGUGCCAUGCUAUAAAUGUCAAUAACAGAUUAAGAAUGUAUCAAUAUAACAUGUGACAUAAUGAAUCAACCGGAGACCCUGCAGUUGGUCCUGUACGGUUAAUUUCAUAGCUCAAUAUCCAAACCAACCGGAGUCACCACAAUGACAUGUACGGCACUACUCUGCACAUAAAUCGGAACUACCUGAAGUAGUCUGUACGAUAACAAUGGUGUAAGAAUACGCUCUAGUGCUUCUCUCAUCAACAGCUGUAUAAUAAUCUAAAAUCACCUACAGUCGGAACCACUCUAUGGUCUGUACGACAUGUCGGAACCCUCUCAUGGUCUGUAUGACAUGCACCUACUUGGAUCCAAGGUGAGCGUGCGGUGCAGGGUGAAUAAUAUAAGCAUUAACACCAGGGGUGCAGGUUUUAGCUUUCAACACGAUUCACUUCAUCGAUAGUUCACAUGAAUAACAUAAAACUCACCUGAUACUCACAUGUGCGUCCACAACACAAUUUCACAUAUAUAUGCAUCAAUUACUAAUUCAUAUAAUUCAUAAUAUGCAUGCAUGGCAUUUUAAAAACAUACUUUCAUUUAAAUUCAAUUUAUGGGAAAUUCAGUAGUAUAUAGGUAAUAAUAGAAAAUAACUGCCCACUCACUGGUAAGUCGAAGGGUCGUAACCCCCGUGACGUCCUUGAAUGCGCUCAUCCUCGGGAUAGGUAUCACCUACAUGCGAAACAACUAUAACAACGUUAUUGAAAGCACAUAACUGACAAUUCAUAAUAACUUCUCAUACGAUGCUCAAUUUGGGUAUAUGAAUAUACCAAAGUGACCUACUCGACGUCGAGGUAUUUUUAGAAAAAAAAAUUCGAGGCCGCACGGGCCCCCACGUGCGUCACCUUCUUCCUCCAGUCGCCAAAAAACUGGAGGUUCAAUCUCCUUGUUCUCCGUCAUUUAUCAACCAUUUUUCACGCAUUUUAUAUCAAUUUGAAGCCCUAAGCGUGUAGAAUUACAUUACACUACUUUAAGGUUAAAAAACAUACGAAAUCUCACCGGAGAAAUUCCAAGAAAACCGGCCAACUUCGAACCCGGCGAUCCCGACGUCCAAAACUUUCAAACUAAACACUCUGAGCUUCCUUAGGACCUUACUAAGCUCACUGUAAGCUUAGAAUUCCCUGAAAUUCAACAAUUCACGCGUGCAUGAACAAUACUCAAAUCGGACCUUGAGGUUUCAACGUGAUAUCGAGGGUUUCCAGUUCUAAAAAUGACACCAAUCAAAUCAGGAGAUUGAAAGGAUGAAGAAACUCACUUUUUUGGCUUCGAUCCGCGAAGAAAUUGAGGGAUUGGUGCUUUGGUCCGUACGGGUUCGAGAGGAAGAGAGAGAGAACUGCGAUGGAGGAGAGAGAGAGAGCACGGGGAAGAACUUGUCCCGUGUGUGUAUGUGUGGUCCACCCAAAACAAGCCAUACUUUCAUUCCCUAACCACACAAAUUUCAAAUAACUUUUAAUCCAUUUAAAAUCUUCCAAAAAUUUGGGAGAGUAUGAAUUAUUCCAAAUUAUACGUCACACGUACCUUAGUCACCUUAAGGGUAAUUUCGUCAUUUUACAACCUCGAUAAAUAAAAACUCGGGACGGGCUGUGACAAACAAACAAUGAUAUCGACUAUGACAAAAAGGAGCCUUUUCGAAUCAUCACCACUCGUGUGUUGAAGGAGAUUGGUCAGUCAUUUUGAGAACUAAUGAAACACAAAAAUGAUCACGUAAAUAAGACACUUACAUAUAAAUCAUAUUAUUCAGCCAAACCAGAUAUUGUCAAUUUUCUUAAGAUCAAAACUAACAAUUCUAGUUGGUCAAAUCUAAUACCGGUUAAGGAAAACAAGUCCAAACUUGAUUUGGUUGGUUUAAUUUGUAUGAUUUACAACCUAGUCGUAAGUAGUAACUUACUAGUAGAGGGAGGAAAACAUUUUGGUCAAAAUAGAUGGGUUAAGAAAAUGUCAAACAAAUUCUCAUAUUAUAUGCUAAUAUUUGGAACGAAAACGAUUUCUUGCUCUUAUCAAAUCCAUUCGAAAGUUCAGAGUUAAUUAUGAAGAACUUAUAACUAAAGUGAUCAAGAAUAUUUAAAUUUUUACUCGACGUUAUAAGUUCAAUUCUACACUCCCUUGAGAGAGAAUUUAGGACUAAUUUGAGACAAAAAAAAUUAUAAGACUCGAACCAGAAAAACCUCAAAAAUUUAGGGGACAAAUGUGAGAUCAAACCUAAUUAUUCUUGUAAUAUUUGAAUUCGACAUUUUAAAGAUACAGUAGGCACAACCUUUAUACGCCCUCCCUCCAUUUCUGACUAAAUCCCAAAACCAAAACAGGUCAACAUAAGUCAAUACAAUUCCCAAAUAAACAAAUUACGACCCCGUCGCUCUGACUUCACUUUAUAUUAGCCUCUUGUCAAGCACAGUUAAUUACGAGAUUUUGUAUUGUAUUUUUAUUUUUUUAAAUUAUAAUUAAAAUAAUAAUUUAAAUAUUAUGAAAGUUUCGCUUAUUUUACUUCUCCCUAUAUAUACACCCCCUCCAUUUCCCGCUGUCGACCAAAUCACACACAGUAAAGAACACUCAACAGAGAAAGAAAAUUUGAUAAAAUCCCCCCCCCCCCCCCCCCCCCCCCAAAAAAAAAAAGAAAUCCACACAGAGAAAGGCAAAAUAAUGCCUUGCGCUUUGGUGGUGCCGAACUCGCCGAUUUUUUCGCCGUCGCAAAUUCCCUCCCAUUUUUUCCGGUCGUCGGCCUUAGCUUCCCCUUCUGCCUGUUCUUCGCCUAGAGUCCUCCAUGGCGCGCCGCCCACACCGUCGCGGUCGCCGGCUUUGACGACGCCGGCUUUUGAGUCUCGGUUUCAGAGGCAGUUGAUAAGCGAGUGCCAGAAGCAGGCUUCGGGUUUGGCUCUGAAGAGGAAGAGGCCGAUGAUGAUUGAUAUUCCGGUGGCGCCCUUGGUGAAUUUUAAGGUGGAGUCGAGUGAGGGUGCGGCGGAGAGAGUGGAGGUGCUGGAGGUUGAUGAGGAUGUGUAUUCGGUUUAUUGUAAGAGGGGGAGGAGAGGUCCAAUGGAGGAUCGUUACUCUGCUGUUGUUGAUCUUCACGAUGAUUCGAGACAGGUAAAUUGUGAUUAUUUCGCUCUCAAUUUUCUGUUUGUUUCCCGGGAAAAUUUCACAAAUGGAAAUUAGUAUCUUUACUAGAAACUUCAAGCAUUUAGCUUUGAUUAGAUUGUUUUACAAUUUUAUUUGGAGUUGAGCUUCAACUGAGAAAGUUUAGGAUGAAAUCAAAAGUACAAGAAUUGGGUUUCUAUAAAUUUUGAGAAAGAUAUAAAAUUGUGGAAUUUAUGUUUUUGAAUUCGCUGUUCGAAUUCGUUCUGAUUAGAUUAUGUGACUACAGGUAUUCUUUGGUGUGUUUGAUGGGCAUGGAGGAGCAAAAGCAGCUGAAUUUGCAGCCAAGAACUUGACUAAAAACAUUGCGGAUCUUUUGACGGGUGAAAGUGAAGAGGAAAUCGUGGAAGCAGUCAAAGAUGGUUAUCUAACCACCGAUGUCGAGUUUCUGAAGGAGGAUGUUGCUGGCGGCGCAUGCUGUGUGACUGCCUUGAUACGAAAGGGCAACCUUGUGGUGUCCAAUGCCGGUGACUGUCGUGCUGUUAUGAGCCGAGGAGGGGUUGCCGAGGCCCUUACAUCCGAUCAUCAUCCUUCUAGAAUAGAUGAAAGGGAGAGGAUUGAGACCACGGUGAGCAUUCAAAUAUGUGCACAUGGAUUCGAGGAUUUGAUAUUCGUACGUCAAGAUUGAAAUGGAAGAUCGUGGACUUUGUCGCUGAUUGGAUUUUGCGUUUUUUGUUUUGCAGGGUGGUUAUGUAGAUUGUUGCCGCGGUGUUUGGAGAAUUCAGGGAUCUCUUGCUGCUUCGAGAUCAAUUGGAGAUAGACAGCUUAAAGAAUGGGUGAUAGCAGAACCAGAGACUAAAGUCUUGAGAAUAGACCCCGAAUGCGAGUUUUUAAUGUUAGCUUCUGAUGGCCUUUGGGACAAGGUAAUUUUAGAACUAAGCUCAUUCAUUCGCUCACGUUUUCGUUUAGAAUUACUUCGAAGACCAAAAGUCUAAUUCAUCUCAGAUCUUCGCCUUCACGUGUCAAAAGCGUCUUUUUGCAAGAGAAGCUCGUUACUGUCAAAAUCGAGAUUUUCUCAAUUUAUUACAGUGAUGUAUCAAGAUCGGUAGUAUAGUUCGCUUUAUGCGUUUGUUGUUUAAGCUGCUUUAAAUUUCUGUUGCAAGAAGCUCGAUCUGGCUUCUUGGAGGUCCAUGGUGUUUGAUACCAAUGGUAGAAAGCGAAUGUAUUAGUUUGACCCUUAGGCAUGCAAGUAAGUUUUGUAAAUGAAAAUAUUGGAUAGCUCGGUGCAGAUUUUGUUGGUUGUAGGAAUCUUUGGUAUAAAAGGUACCCGACGAUACCCGUUUUAAGCAGAAUUUAGUGAUCAAAUUUCAAAAGUAGUUUUAUAACCUGUUUAUACUUAUUUAUUAUUCUUACCGUUAUGCUUAUUCAAGUAUAAUUAGUUUUGUGUUGAAUUUGAUUGGUUUAAACGUUUGGUUUCAUUUGAGAAAAGUUACAAAUAAGCUAAGAGUUAUCCUUUUCAUAUAGUUAACAGUUUUAAUAUUAAGGGUUUUUUUUGACCCCAACUUGACAUCCGUUAAACAAUCCCAUCUAACUAAACACCUUGACCCAAAACCCGUUUAGCAAAUACUAUAUUCGGAUCCAAAUACGGUCUACCGUCGACAAAACUCCGCCUUCUGGACGUGUUUUGGCUUUGUCUUGUUUAAAGUCAACUUCUAGAGCACGUGCUUUUAUUUUGGUUAAACUGCUGUCGGACCAGGUCACGGUCCCGUUUGGCAGCUGCGGCCUGCAAGCAUAGUAUGCACUUGUUUUAGUGUUAAAAUUCAAUAAAAAUAAUAUUAUGUGGGUGAAUUCGGACGUAGUCACCACCAGUCUAUUUACACUUCGCUUUCGCAUUAGAAAAUUUAGAACAUGCACUAAUCAAGUGAUUUGUGACUGUGUUAGUGGACAUCAGGACGUGCCAAACUUUUUUAUCCACUCUUGUGCCGGCUUUUAUCUUUUGUUUUCAGUCAACGAAAAAUGAAAUUCAAACUUGGUGGUAUGAACAAUUGAUCAAUUUAUAAUAAGGCCCACGCAACCACCAUGGGAAGAAGGCCUCAUUGGGAUAUAUUGAUGUGGAAUACAAAAGUUGUUUGUAUUGCUAUUGAAUCAUUGAAUUUUUGUGUUCAUUGUAUUGCAGCUCUUGAAUCGAACUCCUUUGAUUGUGCAUUCGAAUGAUUUCGUUUAAGAUAUUGUUGCUUACUGAGUUUCGUAGCUGUUUUUUUUUUUAGUAUAUCGAUAUUUUUAUACUAAAUGGAGGGGGAGUUUGGCUAAACCACAUAAUAGGCAGCCAAAUUUGGUAUCGAAUUUGUCAUCCACGAGAUUCGAACCUAAGACCUCUUACUUCCAAGUGAAGAGGAAUACAACCAGACCGUAGUCAUGAGUAACAAAACAUUGCAUAUGAUUAAAUUUUUUUUUUUUUUUUUGUAGCUGUUUUGAUAGCGUUGUUUACAUUAGAUGUUUUAUACCUUUCUCUUGGGUUUUUGAACUCUUGUAGUUUCGUUUUGAGGUUUAUUUGUAAGAAAUGGUAAUGGAAUUGUUUAUAUUUAGGUCUAAAAACUUUGAAGAAGUUACUUUUUGCUCUUAGAAGUAAUGUGAAGUGCCAUCUCUUUGGGCGGAAAGCAAUAAUACUUAUGUACCCCAUUGUAGUUUUGAUCCCCACCAUUUUUUCCUCUAACAACCAACAAUUUAUGACUCAUUUUGAUGUGCUUUUAAAAUGACUGAAAGCGAUUUUAGAGAAAAUAUUUUUGAGUUCCAAAAGUACUUUAAGUGCUUUUUGCAACAAGCACCAGUUAUGUGAUUAUUCCAGGAAGCACUUUAAGUAUUUUUCCAGGAUUUACUUGCAUUUUUAUUAAGGAUUAGUUACAAAAACAUUUUCACAAAAAAUAUUUUCAAUCAUUUUAAAAACACAUCCAAACGAACUCUUAAUCUAUUAAAACUAUCGUUUGUCAUUGAUUAUCUUCUUAAUUAUUCAACCUAAUUAACCUAACGGCUAAAAAAUUGCCAAAAGUUAAAAAGUGGAGUGUGGAAAUCAUUCACGAAUUAAAUGGGCCAAGUUUUUCUUGGGCUUAUACAUUUUUGUCAAAGGUUAUUGGGCUUCUCAGACAUGCUUCGACUUUAAAAUAAAUUUUCCAAUUUUGCAUCACAACACCGUGUGCUAUAAUAGGCCCAUAACUCGGCAUUAAAAGAAAAAGAAAAAGAAAAAGAAAACCCUGUGUUAUAGUACAAAUGAAUAAUUAUGCUUUUGCUUAGCCAAAAAGAUUACAUGUUAAUAGGUUACUGGUAAACUUCCAAAAACUUAUAUUUUAAACAAGACGUGCUUAUAAGAAUCAGAUACGAACCAAAAACUCAAGAUUUCAAGUUUGGAUCCACCUCACUAAUAAUAAAAAACAAAAUCAUCGAUUUGAGAUUCCGAAUUUAAAUCCUCCUCGUUAAUUUUAUUUGUAUCAAAAGAAAAAGAAAAAUUAAACGAGUAAACCUAAAUUUACCUCUGUGUAUAAGAAAACUUAAUAUUAAAAAUGAUUUUUAUCACAAAUGAUUCUUGAAAUUGAUUUUCAUCAUCAAUAUGACAUUUGAAAUUGAAAAUCAAUUAAUGUAAUCCCUGAAAAUAGGUAUCGCAAAUUAAUAUGGUCAUUCCGUCACAAUUCUGUUAAAUUUUUUGUUAAAUGCUGAUGUGACACAUACAUGGGCCCCACAAGAUUUAUGAGUUUUUAUCACAAAUGAUUCAUGAAAUUAACCCACACUAUCAAGAUGAUCCAUAAAAUUAAAAAUCGGAUAAUAUAGUCAUUGAAAAUAGGUGUCGCAAAUUAAUGUAAUCAUUCCACCACAAUUCUGUAAAUUUUUUUGUUAUGUGUGUGAUUUUAAUAAUUAAUUUAAAAAGUUGUCUAAAUACCUUUUGACAAUGAAUUUUUUUUUCUUAUAGUAAGAUUUGAUCGAUUUUCAAUUUUAUGAACCAUUUUAAUAUCGCAGGUCAAUUUAGGGACAUUUUGAUGUUGUGGGUCAAUUUUAAGAACCAUUUAUGAGGAAAAAAGACUUAUGAGAUCCAUUUAUGUGCCAUAUCAGCACUUAACGGAAUCUUUAACAUAAUUGUGAUGGACGAACCAUAUUGAUUUGCGACACCUAUUUUUAAAGACUACAUUAAUUGAUUUUCAAUUUCAAGGACCAUAUUAAUGAUGUGGUUUAAUUUCAAUGACAAUUUGUGAUAAAAAUCCUAUUAAAAAAGAAUGUAUUCUCGAAAUACUUUCCUAUAUAUAUAUCACACUUACUACAUCUACAUGUUACCAUGUGCACAGUCGUUGAAAAAGGUCGGGUUAAAUCCGGACCCGCAUCUAAUGACCCGGCGACUAUCCACAACCACUUUUGCAUGAAGAAGUUCAGCCAAUGAGUAAAGCGCACGACAGAACAUUUUUAACACGUAAUUAUUUUAAAAUUUUUUCUCCUCCUCAUCCGAAUAUUUUAAAAUAUUUAAUUUAUUUAAUAUUUUAGCUCUCGAAGUGGCCUGGGUGAGAUCUCUGCGCCUCGUUUAUAUUUUUCACUGGAAUAAAAUUCCAUUUCAUAAAAUCCCCUAAAAAAAAAUCAGACCUGCGUUCUAACCCCCUUUCUCCUCAGAUCUCUCUCCCUUUGUUCGCUUUUGCGGGUCCAAGGGUUUCGGUGCUGCUAGAUCUCUCUCAGCGAUUCGAAUCCCUCUCCGGGUUCGAACGCUCUCUCUCUCUCUCUCUCUCUCUCUCCGCGGUGGACUCACACUUCACGGCUGCAUCGCAUCCGUAGAUCCAAGCCGCCGAUUCCGAGCCGUCGAUCUGCUCCGCAGCCAUGGCGGCCGCGAACGCUCCGAUCACCAUGAAGGAGGCCCUAACGGUCAGUUUUAGCUUCCGAUUCGAAUGCUUCUUUAGCUCAAUUUAAAUUUACACUUGCUUUUUAGCUGAAUUAGUUGCUUUUUUGGUCAAUGACUUCGCUCGAUUUGUGAUUUUUACUUCGUUUUUGCUACUUAGUUUUGUGUUAAGCUUCAGAUAGAUCUGAAAGUUUCUGGAAUUUUCGGUUUCUGAUCAGAUCUGAGGAGUUGUGUUACUUAGAACUACUGAGUUUAGCACACGAUUAACUGUUCACAGAGGUUUUGACAAAAAAUAUAAAGUGAUUGAUGAGUUUGUACGAUAAGUGGUUGAUGAGUUUGUAUGAUCUGAUCUGAUUGCAGCUUCCGAGCGUUGGGAUUAAUCCGCAAUUCAUAACGUUUACACAUGUUACUAUGGAAUCCGAUAAGUACAUAUGCGUUCGGGAGACUUCGCCUCAGAACAGUAUUGUUAUUAUCGAUAUGAGUAUGCCGAUGCAACCUCUGAGGAGGCCUAUCACUGCGGACUCUGCGCUUAUGAAUCCGAAUUCCAAAAUUCUUGCCUUGAAAGGUAGGUUAUAACUACUUGUUCGCAUUGCUGGAAUACCUCUUUUUGCAUAUACGUGUUGUCACUUUUGAAAGGUGGUCUGGUUUAGUGGUCUGCUCUUGAUCUGAAUGCAUCAUGCAUGUGUGCUGCUAUUGCACCAACUUUUUGAACCUCAGAUUACUUAAUUAGUAUGCAGUAAGUUUCGUCGUAGACUAAUAGAUUCACUAUUCAUCUUGCUGAUAUGUUUGCACCAUGUAAUUAGUUGAAUCAGUAGUUACUAUCAUAUACAAUCUAAGUUUUUAACUUUAUUUAUCUACUGGAUCUUACUUACCGGCGCCUUACCUUUCUUUAUGAACCACAAUUUUUUUAAUUCUUAUUGAUCAUGUGUUGUCAUAUCCACUUGAAGCUGGAGUCCAAGGUACUACUCAGGAUCACCUUCAAAUAUUUAACAUCGAGAUGAAAGCAAAACUGAAAUCACAUCUUAUGCCGGAGCAGGUACUCGCUUCAUUUGUUUACUAGUUAGUGUGUUUUUCGCCAUCUCUUGUAUUUGCUUAAGAAUACCUGGGUCUCGUUUUCUGCGAGGUUUUAAACAGUCUAGCUUACCUUUCCCCAUUGUUUCUUUUGUAGAUUGUUUUCUGGAAGUGGAUAACCCCAAAGAUGUUAGGUUUAGUCACUCAGACUACAGUAUACCACUGGUCAAUUGAAGGUAAGAUGCCUUAAAUAAGUUAUUUGAGUAUUAUACAAUCAUACUUCUUCUGGCUUUUGUUGCAUGGAAACAUUACAAAUUAAUGGUAUCAACUUGCUUGUUGUGUUAAACUUUUGGUCUUUAUUUGUUUGUUCCUCGCUGCAUCUCCUUGUAGGUGAAUCUGAACCUGUAAAGGUGUUUGAGCGAACAGCUAAUCUGGCUAACAAUCAGAUUAUAAAUUACCGCUGUGAUCCUUCCGAGAAGUGGUUGGUUUUGAUUGGAAUUGCUCCUGGUGCACCAGAGGUGUGUUAUUAUGUCUAUUUAUGCCUGUCCAGCAUUAUUUCUUGUGUCCACCAGUUUUUUUUUUCUCAGCCGAGGAAAAUUGUUAGAAAUUGCAGAACUGUUGGGAUCUUUAGCUACCCUGUUUGAGUUCCCAUAAACGAAUCCCAUUUUCUUGAAUCUUGCCCAUUGAGUGUUUGCAGGCCAGCCCUCUAAAAGUCAGUCUUUAUUUAUAUUCAAAUUUGUACUUCUAUUCUUAAUACAUUCAAUAUAUCCUCAUAAACUAUUGUGGGAACUAUAGUUCCCAAUGAUUGAUAUUGUGAAACAACUCUGCUUCUGUACUAGUUCUGUUUUUCUUCUCUUUUUUGUUUAUAAAGUUCACAAUUUUUCGGAAAUUACAACCCCUCUCUUUUAAAGCCACUUCUCUGCUGUACUGCUUCUCAUUGUUAAUGUUGUUUUUCUAGAGGCCACAAUUGGUGAAAGGAAAUUUGCAACUCUUCUCUGUGGAUCAGCAGCGCAGUCAAGCUCUUGAAGCACAUGCUGCAUCAUUUGCCCAAUACAAGGUAUGCAAGUUUCACCCUUUCUCCUACUAUUUAUAAUUUCCUGCACCUCGCACUAUUCACAAUCUAUUAAUACACAAACAUAUAUGCAUCUUUGAAUAUUGUUGACCUGGUGUCUCUAUUUUGCACAGGUUCCAGGGAAUGAGAAUCCUUCAACUCUUAUUUCUUUUGCCACUAAGACCCUCAAUGCUGGACAGAUUACAUCAAAGUUGCAUGUUAUUGAGCUCGGUGCCCAGCCAGGUUGAUAUUAGGAUUAUAUUAAAUUAAAGUUAUAUGUUCAUUCAUGAAAUGAACUGGCUGCCCGGUUCUGUUUAGACACAUGAUUUUUUGUUCCCUUACACAAAAUCUCCUCUCCAUUAAAUCUGUAAGUGCUGAUUAUGGUUUCUUGGAUAGGGUAUAUCUUUAAUCAUUAAAACUAAAUAACCAUGGAGAUAGUGGUUACAUCUACAACAACAACAACAAAGCCUUAUCCCACCAAGUGGGGUCGGUUGUAUGAAUAUUGGUGACGUCUGCUGGGAAUAUAUAUUGGAAUAAGUUUAAUAUUAUUAGCUCAUAAACUUGUAUAGGUUAAAUUAUAUGUGAUAUCGACUAAGUUUGUACACGGUUGGCACUUUCAGUUAAAAUCAAAUUUUGGGAAGAUAUUGAAUAUAUAUUGUUUUGUGUUUAUUUUGGUGAUUUUCAAGUUAAUGGAAGUAACUGUGAGUUUGAUCAUAUUGCAGGGAAACCAUCUUUUACGAAGAAACAAGCAGAUCUUUUCUUUCCUCCAGAUUUUAAUGAUGAUUUCCCAGUCGCCAUGCAGGUACUGAAUUACGCCAGUGUUUUUUAACUAAUUGUGUAUACUGUACAUAUGUUAAUAUUGAAUUCGUUUAUCUGGCAGAUGUCUCACAAGUACAGCUUGAUUUAUGUAAUUACAAAGCUUGGGCUACUAUUUGUGUAUGAUUUAGAGACAGCUAGUGCCGUUUACAGAAAUAGAAUUAGUCCGGAUCCAAUUUUCUUGACAACGGAGGCUUCAUCUGUUGGAGGGUUUUAUGCGGUUAAUAGGCGGGGCCAGGUGUUGUUGGCUACAAUUAAUGAGCAAACAAUUGUGCCUUUUGUCAGCGGCCAGGUAUGUUUGAAAUGUUUUUUUUCUUUCUUGCUGUGGUGCUAUGGUAUUGAAAGUAGCAAGUUGUUCUUAAAAAUGUUAUCUUGUUUGCAUUUGCAGCUAAACAAUUUGGAGCUUGCUGUCAAUCUGGCUAAAAGAGGAAAUCUUCCAGGUGCUGAGAAUCUGGUAAGAUAUUCUUUUAUAAUUCAAUUUAUGCUUGAGUAGUACUAGAUUUUCCACAGGGGCAGUAUUUAAGUAAGCAUAGUUAAGCUGUGUGGAAUUAACUUGAAGCUCACUGAUAAGAAGCACAUUGGUUGCUUUUAUUGUAUCCAAUUUGAAGUUGUCAUUAUAAGGAAGUUAUUUAAACUUGAAGCUCACUGAAGAUGUGCUUGUUAAGGUCAGAGAGGCAAGGGAUUUCAUCCAUGUAGUGUGUAGAGAUGAAAUUUAAUCCAUAAUCUUUUUUUGUUAACGUUUGGACAAGUUAAUAACGCUUUGAGAUAAGGGAGGUGAAGCUAGAGAAGGCCUUAAUCUAUAUGGUGAACAAUUAUUGUUGAUUGUUGGCUGGGUUGUACUUGGCUAUCUCAUUUGUUAUGCCAUGAUUUGAUAAGGUAUAAUCCUCUCUACUUUAAUUUCUGAUGUUCCUACAUGAUUUUUACAGGUUGUCCAGCGUUUUCAAGAACUGUUUGCCCAAACAAAGUACAAAGAAGCUGCUGAGCUUGCUGCGGAGUCCCCACAAGGAAUUCUCCGCACACCUGAUACUGUUGCUAAAUUUCAGGUUUCCAUUUUGCUUCUGUAUUAUUUGCACAUGUUUCUUUCUUUAAGCAGUAGUUCUCUCUUCACAUGACUUGUCCUGGAGGUGUUUCACAUGUAUCUAAUAUUUUUGUUUUCAAUUCUAUUUGUAUCAAGCUUCUGGUAUGCAGUUUGAUGUGUUCUGGUAGUUCUUGUUCUUGGGUGUUUGAUAUAUCUGAGUGUUCUCUAAUUGGCUAGAUCGAAUACGAAGUACGUAUAGCAUUUUUCUGGUAGUAGAACAUUUAUGAGUAGUGUUAUUGAUGCUUUGUAGAGGUUAGGAGAAUUAAAUGAAUUCAAGUGGCUGCAUCUGUGUCAGAACCGGUGAGAAAUGAAUAUAUACUAAAUGGUAUUCUAGCGGACUAAACUGAGAUACAGCAUACUUGGUCAAAAGACAUAUUGUGCUUGAUAGGUUUAGAUUGUAUGUUCAUUUGUUUGAGAGGGUGAGAGUUACAAUUCUUGCACUCUGCUAAUGACUUUUGUUUUCUGAUGUGUUGCAGAGUGUUCCUGUCCAAGCUGGGCAAACACCACCUUUGUUGCAGUACUUUGGGACACUCUUGACAAGAGGGAAGCUCAAUGCAUUUGAAUCAUUGGAAUUGUCACGUCUUGUAGUGAACCAGAAUAAGAAGAACCUUUUGGAGAACUGGUUGGCCGAGGACAAACUCGAAUGCAGUGAGGAACUGGGAGAUCUUGUGAAGGUUGGCUUUGCGAUUUGAAUUUAAAUGUCGAUUUUCAGUUAUUUACAUUUUUGGUAUUAAUCUCUCUGAUUUUUUUUCUUGUAGACUGUGGAUAAUGAUCUGGCUUUGAAAAUAUAUAUUAAAGCCAGAGCAACUCCCAAAGUUGUUGCAGCUUUUGCUGAGCGAAGGGAGUUUGACAAAAUACUGAUCUACUCAAAGCAGGUGAGGAAUUGUUACGUAGUAAUUGGUUUUCUAAAUGUUUGUUUUUAUAUUUGUUAAAUGGUUGUUUGGUGUCUGAGCAUUGCCAUUGUCUUUGUUGCUUUAGGUUGGCUACACACCUGACUAUCUGUUCCUUUUGCAAACAAUUCUUCGAGCAGAUCCUCAGGUAUUCAUAUAAUACUCCGAAAGCUUAUAUUUUCUAUUUAGUUCUUGAAAGCUGAAAGCAUAAACAGAUCGCGCACUGAUCUUUUUUCGGUGAAUGUCCCAUCGAAAACAAAAUCCUUCCGUUUGUAUUUUUUCAGUUAGUACCCCCCGCAGUUUGAUGUACUGUGUACAUUUGGUUUGCAAUUGUAUAUAGAUGGAAUUGAAACUUGUUUACGACGUUGUAUAAAUUUAAACUAAACCAGGUUAAAAUGUGGUUUUUAAUGUAGGGUGCUGUUAAUUUUGCAUUAAUGAUGUCUCAAAUGGAAGGUGGUUGUCCAGUUGAUUACAACACUAUAACAGAUCUCUUCCUUCAGGUGUGUUUACUUUCAUGAUUACUAACUUUUUACGUUAUACUGUGCUCACCUUAGCAGUUAUGGAUAUUAUUUAAUAAAAAAUACGGCUCACAUGCUUCUUGUUUCUCUUUGUAUAUUUUAGAGGAACCUUAUUCGUGAGGCAACCGCCUUUCUAUUGGAUGUUUUAAAGCCAAAUCUUCCAGAGCAUGCAUUCCUGCAAACAAAGGUUUCUAUCAUUAAAGCUACUUAUAAAUGAUCUGUAGAUUCCUAUUUCAGCUGGUUGACAUUUUUCAUCCAUGCAGGUCCUUGAAAUCAAUUUAGUGACCUUUCCUAAUGUGGCUGAUGCUAUUUUAGCCAAUGGAAUGUUCAGUCAUUAUGACCGUCCUCGUAUUGCCCAGCUAUGCGAAAAAGCUGGUCUUUAUGUGCGAGCUUUGCAAGUAAGAUGUGUUGCAAAUUCCUUUUCUUUUAAUUGUCCUCUAUUUCUAAUAGUAACAUUUGUGCUAAACAUUUUGCUUCUGUUGCAGCAUUACUCAGAGUUGCCUGAUAUUAAACGUGUCAUAGUGAAUACACAUGCAAUAGAGCCACAGUCACUUGUGGAGUUUUUUGGCACUCUGUCGAAAGAAUGGGCAUUGGAGUGCAUGAAAGAUCUUUUAUUGGUCAACUUAAGAGGAAACCUUCAGAUCAUUGUGCAGGUACACCUUUUUUUUCUUUUUGCUACCGUGAUGUUAAAACCAUGCCUGGAGCAUUAACUGAAACAAUUAGUAAUACCUGCGCAGGUUGCUAAGGAAUAUUCUGAGCAGUUGGGUGUUGAUCAAUGCAUGAAGCUCUUUGAACAGUUCAAGUCAUAUGAAGGGUUGUACUUCUUCCUUGGUUCGUUUUUGAGCUCAAGGUAAUCUGUUGAAGAAGUUUUCUUUAUUUUCUUGUGUUUGGAUAUCUCCUCCAGUUUAUUCUUGAUUUUCAUAUAACUUUAAAAUUUGAUACAGUGAGGAUCCUGAUAUCCACUUCAAGUACAUUGAGGCAGCUGCUAAAACUGGACAAAUCAAGGAGGUGGAGCGAGUUACAAGAGAAUCAAACUUCUAUGAUGCUGAGAAGACAAAGAACUUCUUAAUGGAAGCUAAGCUCCCCGAUGCGCGUCCAUUAAUUAAUGUUUGCGAUCGUUUUGGAUUUGUUCCAGAUCUCACCCACUACUUGUACACGAACAAUAUGCUUCGUUACAUUGAAGGUUACGUUCAAAAGGUACUAUUUGAGGCUUUGAGUCUUCUUUCGACACUCUGAAUUCUCUUUUGGGUUCCAUCACUGAAAAUUUUACUGGCUCAUUGUGUAGGUGAACCCUGGGAAUGCUCCAUUAGUUGUGGGACAGUUGUUAGAUGAUGAGUGCCCUGAAGAUUUUAUCAAAGGCUUGAUUCUUUCUGUUCGUUCAUUGCUUCCAGUGGAGCCCCUUGUGGAGGAAUGUGAGAAGAGGUAUGUAUUCACAAUGCCACCCAAUCCUAAUUUUUACCCUUCCAUCAUCUUUUUUGUCUCUCACUUAAUUUUCUUAUUCUUUUCCCUCUCUCUAGGAAUCGCCUUCGUUUACUCACACAGUUCUUGGAGCAUCUUGUGAGUGAGGGAAGCCAAGAUGUACAUGUGCACAAUGCUUUGGGUAAAAUCAUCAUUGAUAGUGGCAAUAAUCCAGAGCACUUCCUUACCACAAACCCAUAUUAUGAUUCACGUGUUGUUGGUAAAUAUUGUGAGAAACGUGAUCCUACCCUAGCUGUUGUUGCUUACCGCCGUGGACAAUGUGACGAUGAACUUAUUAAUGUCACAAAUAAGAACUCAUUGUUCAAAUUGCAAGCAAGGUUGGUGAUUAGUAUCUUAUGACUAAUUCUUUGUUCAAAUUUCAUCUCAUUCGAGUACCUGGAGGUUUACUGACUAAUUCUUUGUUACUAGGUAUGUGGUUGAGAGGAUGGAUGAAGAUCUUUGGGGGAAAGUUCUUGACCCUGAGAAUGAGUACAGAAGACAGCUUAUUGAUCAAGUUGUUUCUACUGCCUUGCCCGAGAGCAAGAGCCCGGAGCAAGUUUCUGCGUCUGUUAAGGCUUUCAUGACUGCUGAUUUGCCUCACGAAUUAAUUGAGCUUCUUGAAAAGAUUGUGCUUCAAAACUCUGCCUUCAGUGGAAACUUUAAUCUGCAAAACCUGCUAAUUUUGACAGCCAUCAAGGCAGAUCCGUCUAGAGUUAUGGAUUAUAUUAAUAGGCUAGAUAAUUUUGAUGGACCUGCAGUUGGGGAAGUAGCUGUGGAAGCUCAAUUGUAUGAGGAAGCAUUUGCAAUCUUCAAGAAGUUUAACUUGAAUGUCCAAGCUGUUAAUGUCUUGUUGGAUAACAUCCGAAGCAUUGAUAGGGCUGUGGAGUUUGCCUUCCGUGUGGAGGAAGAUGCUGUUUGGAGCCAGGUUGCAAAGGCUCAACUUCGGGAGGGUCUAGUGAGCGAUGCUAUUGAAUCAUUUAUCCGUGCGGAUGAUGCCACCCAAUUCUUGGAUGUUAUUCGUGCUUCUGAGGAUGCAGAUGUGUACCAUGACUUGGUGAAGUACCUUCUAAUGGUUAGGCAGAAGGUCAGAGAACCCAAGGUGGACAGUGAGCUCAUUUAUGCAUAUGCAAAGAUUGAUAGGCUUGCUGACAUCGAAGAAUUUAUUCUUAUGCCAAAUGUCGCUAAUCUCCAAAAUGUUGGUGAUCGCCUAUAUGAUGAGGCUCUCUAUGAAGCUGCAAAGAUAAUAUAUGCCUUCAUAUCUAACUGGGCCAAGUUGGCUGUCACACUUGUGAAGCUCAAACAAUUUCAAGGUGCUGUUGAUGCAGCACGAAAAGCUAACAGUUCAAAGACAUGGAAGGAGGUUUGCUUUGCUUGUGUUGAUGCUGAGGAGUUCCGCUUAGCUCAGAUUUGUGGUCUCAACAUCAUUAUACAGGUGAUUUUUUAUUUUUUUUUUGCAUCUGUUUGUCUCGUAUACUUCUAAGGUGAAUUUUUACUCUAGGUUUGCUCAUAUUUAUACAGUUUUCACUAAUUCUUUGUGUUGAUUUGAAUUUUAUAGGUGGAUGAUUUGGAAGAGGUCAGUGAAUACUACCAGAAUAGAGGAUGCUUCAAUGAGCUUAUAUCUCUAAUGGAGAGUGGUCUUGGGUUAGAGCGUGCUCACAUGGGAAUCUUUACUGAGUUGGGGGUUCUAUAUGCUAGAUAUCGUCCAGAGAAACUUAUGGAGCACAUCAAAUUGUUCGCAAAUCGUCUAAAUAUCCCCAAGCUUAUAAGAGCAUGUGAUGAGCAGCAACAUUGGAAGGAGCUGACCUAUCUGUAUAUUCAAUAUGAUGAGUUUGAUAAUGCUGCAACUACCAUCAUGAAUCAUUCCCCUGAAGCCUGGGAUCACAUGCAGUUCAAAGAUGUGGCAGUUAAAGUUGCUAACGUGGAGCUAUAUUACAAGGCUGUGCACUUCUACUUGAAAGAGCACCCGGAUCUCAUUAACGAUCUUCUAAAUGUGCUCGCGCUUCGUGUAGAUCACACACGUGUUGUUGACAUCAUGCGGAAGGUAAUUGAAUGUGCAUAUAUUUAUUUACGGGAUUCUUAGAUACUUGGUGCCCUCCCAUCCAACAAAAAAGCAUUGGAAGUUUAGAUUUCAUCUCCAUGGCUUUGAUGUUUACAUUCUUCUGUGCUUGAAAAUUGUAGGCUGGUCACCUGCUUCUUGUGAAGCCAUACAUGGUUGCAGUUCAGAGCAACAAUGUCUCUGCUGUGAACGAGGCUUUGAAUGAGAUUUAUGUUGAGGAGGAAGACUAUGAAAGAUUGCGCGAAUCAAUUGAUUUGCAUGAUAGCUUUGACCAAAUAGGCCUCGCUCAAAAGGUAAAAUGCAUUCUAUUUCUAGUCUGUUCUUUGUUUAAGGUGUUCCAUGUGCAAGAUCCUUAUAUUGUUUGUUUGGUCAGAUUGAGAAACAUGAGCUUCUGGAAAUGAGACGCGUUGCUGCUUAUAUUUACAAGAAAGCUGGAAGGUGGAAGCAGUCCAUUGGAUUGUCAAAGAAAGACAAACUUUACAAAGAUGCCAUGGAGACAGCCUCACAAUCUGGUGACCGUGAACUGGCCGAGGAGUUGCUUGUUUACUUCAUUGAACAGGUAUGGAACUCUUUAUAAGACUCCAUUUUUUCACGAAUUAUGAUUUUAGAAUGUGAAUGCAUUCUCUAUUUUAUGAGUGCAUUCUCUUCACUGUUGUUCCCGGCCUGCUGACAUUUCUGAUAAUUCAUGAAUUUUCUUCCUCAAAUUGCAGGGAAAGAAAGAAUGCUUUGCAUCGUGCCUCUUUGUCUGUUACGAUUUGAUAAGGCCGGACAUUGCCCUUGAACUUGCAUGGAUGAACAACAUGAUCGAUUUUGCUUUCCCAUAUCUGUUACAGGUAAUUUUUUUGUCUUGUUCCUAACUGAUUCUUGCGUGUAAAUGGUUGUUGAAUUCUUUCAUCAAGUCUUGCUUACAUGGUUGAGAACCUUAUGUAACCUUCGUUGUACAGUUUAUCCGUGAAUACACUGGCAAAGUUGAUGAACUGGUUAAAGACAAAAUUGAAGCACAAAAGGAGAUCAAGGCUAAAGAACAAGAAGAUAAAGAAGUUAUUGCACAGCAGGUAAACACUUUGAAAUCAUCUUAUAAAUUUGCAUGCCUUCUGGUUCUAAUCACGUCAAUCCCCGCAUUCCCAAUUUACGGUUUGUUCUUUUCUUACACAUCGUUUUGCAUAAUGACUUCUUGAGUUAACUUGCUUUGCAGAACAUGUAUGCUCAGUUGCUGCCUCUUGCUUUGCCUGCACCACCAAUCCCUGGUAUGAGCGGGGGUAUGGGAGGAGGGUAUGCUCCACCGCCACCUAUGGGAGGAAUGCCACCGAUGGGCAUGCCGCCUUAUGGCAUGCCACCAAUGGGCAGCAGCUACUGAGGCAUGUUGAACUAUCCCUUCGGAGUUCGAUGUUUGAUUUUGAUGUUUUAGUCAGUAGGGCAACCUAUUUGAUAGAACUUACCAUUUAGUGUAAUUUUAUGAGGUUCACGAGCCCGUCACAUGGUUUUAUUUUGUUCUUCUGUUGUUUUAUUAUGGGUUGGAAAGGGUGCAGCUUAAAUAAUUGUGUCAUAGGUUGUGUGGAUAUGUUCUGUUGUCUUGUAAUAUUCUUUUGUAGCAGAGGCAUUUUUGUUUUGGCUGGUGGUUGAGGGCGAGCUUAGAAUUUUCUCCUCUGUAUUAUUUGUUCUGGUUUUUCGAACCUGCCCGAGUCCGAGUAUAAUACAAAACAGUACACUCAUCAUUUUGGUAUUGUGCUUUUGUUCCAUUUUUUCUUGGUGUGUAUUUGUUCCAACGAUUUGUUUUCUGGUGGAAGCAUGAUCUAAAAUAUCCAUAAUAUCCCGAUAUAUUCAUCGAAAUUUUCGUGUUUUUGGACUAACGAUAUUUUUUUGGACUACCAAUAUUUUCAAUAUUAUCGAUAUUUUAGACAUUGCUAAGUCACUCAUGUAUCUUACCAUGCAAUGUAUAAAGUCUAAAAUAUUGUAUUAAUUCAUUGUAUAUAAAUGAUUAUGGUGUGUUUAAAUUUCUUUCAUUAAUUACUAUAUAUUAUCUACACUCACAAUGUUUGCCAACUCGUUAUAUAAUUAACUUAAAUAAGUUAUAUCUAUCAUGCAAUGCAUUUCUUUCCAAUUUUUUUGUGAUAAAUUAAUAGAUAAUUGAUUAAAUAAACAUCCUGUAAAGUUUCAAUAAAAAUUUCUAAGUUUUUCUUACUAUUUUCGUGGUUUUUAUUCAAUUUAUAUUGAUAUUGAUAAUAUUCCGAUAUUUCCAUUGAAAUUUCUGUGUUUUUGGACUAUUGAUAUUUUUGAUAUCAUUGAUAUUUUAUACCUUGGGUGGAAGUGAGGCUUUUUUGAACGAUUUCUGAAUCGGUCUUUUGUAUGUCAUGGACCAAAGUAUCAACUCCGGUGGUAGAAUUCGGAAUAAUCCGACGGUACAAGUUGGCGGUUCAUUUUGUUUCGGUGUGUUUACGUUUUCUCUUUUUGGUUCUGUCAAACGAUAAAUUUUGUUUGAUUAGACAUUAGAUAAACCAUCAACAUGGUUUGAACUCACGUUGUCAUGUAAUGGCUCAACACCUCAAAUUUGAGUCUAAAAUUCGAAACUUACAUGAGUUUUAACAUUUGGAGCAAAAUUUUCAGGGACUUGGGAAGCAUGGAAAGCACUGCUACAACCAAAACUGACCCCUUCAAUCAAACACGGCAUUAUCUCGCUAGACCCGAAUCCAAACUUAAAUCAUAUAUCAUGAACUCGAAAGAGAGUGAACCCUUAAAUCAGUUGCUUCUACAUAAAUACUGUUAUGAUAAAAAAAAAUACUUGCAAAUUAUGAUAAAAAAAUACAAAUUUUCGAAUUAACCAUUCCCCUCUCAGGGUUGUGGUCAUCAAACAAGUCCUUCCGUUCUGAACACACCUGACCUUUGUAAUACUACAACGACUUCACAAAGAGUUAUGUAAGGAGCCGUUUGAUAGUCAUUUUGUUUUGAGUUUUGAGUAUUUGGUUUAUGGUUUCAGUUUUCAAAUUUUUAAAAACUAAAAGUUGAAAUUGUAUUUAAUAAUUACUCUCAGUUUUCAGUUUUUCAAAAAAAUAAUUGAACAUUAAAAAGUGAAAAUUUUAGGCCAAAUUUUAAAAACUCAAUAGAAAGUAAUUCUCUUUUUUUUUUUGGUUGAACAGUAGAAAAUAAUUCUCAGUUCUUACUAAAAGUAACUAGCAAAAAAAAUUUUAGUUCUCAUUUUCCAAAAAUGUGAACAAAAACUGAAAACGAGAUAAUUAUCAAACGGCCGUACAGUUUUUAUCCUUUCAGUUUGGUCCUUUCGGGCCUCCCGAGUCACUGAAGUUCAUUGACCUGCCACUCUCUCCCACCAAAAAAAACAGAAGAAAUUCUACCAAUUUCCACAUCGAUUUCUCUUUAUCCAAUUUCCAACCCCCAGCGACAUCGAUCGACUGACGCAAAUGGCUUACCAAUUCGUUAUUUGGGGUCUGAUCACUGUUCUCUCGGCCCUGAUCCUGAGAAUCUCCCUCCAAAUAUCCGCCGGCAGAAGCAACAGAAAACGCGCUGUCGCCUUCUUCCACCCCUUUACCAAUGACGGUGGUGGCGGGGAACGAGUCCUCUGGUGCGCCGUCAAAGCCAUCCAGGACGAAAACCCCUCCCUCGACUGCCUCGUCUACACCGGCGACCACGACGCUUCCCCUCACUCCUUGACCGCCCGCGCAGUUGACCGCUUCGGCGUCAACCUCCUCCGCCAACCCAAGGUUGUCUCUCCCUCUUCCUUUCUCUCUGAAUUCAAUUUUUAUUCAUUAAUUUCGGAUUCGAAUUGAAGGUGGUGCAUUUGAGCAAGAGGAAAUGGAUCGAGGAGGCCACCUACCCGCGGCUGACGAUGAUUGGGCAGAGCCUCGGCUCUGUCUACCUCUCAUGGGAGGCGUUGACGAAGUUCACUCCAACUUUCUACUUCGACACCGCUGGCUAUGCCUUCACGUACCCAAUUGCCCGGCUGUUUGGUUGCAGGGUUAUCUGCUACACCCAUUACCCCACAAUCAGCUGCGACAUGCUCUCCCGGGUCCGCCGGCGGAGCUCCAUGUACAACAAUGACGACUUCAUUGCUCGGAGGUAGGCCUAUUUGUCAAUUUUCACAUUUGCUAAUUGCUGGUCAUGAAACCCAUUGAAACAAAAUGGGUGGAAGAUGAUCACUUUUCGCAUUUUUUUUGUUUAGCCGAAAAAAGAACUUGAAUUGAAUUGAAUUGUUGUUGUAGCAAUUUGUUGUCCAGCUGCAAAGUCGUAUACUACAAUUUGUUUAGCCGGAUGUAUGGGAUUGUAGGAUCUUGUGCUCAUCUGGCUAUGGUUAAUUCGUCAUGGACUCAGUCCCAUAUCGAAAAGCUCUGGAGCAUUCCACAACGGACUAAGCGGGUCUACCCUCCUUGUGAUACUUCUGGACUUCAGGUUUACUACAUUUUACUUGGAAACUUGGUUUUUGAUUUAAAAGCUUGUGUGUAAUUGUGUAAGAUGAGCUGCAAAUGUGCAAUUGCCUUUCUGUGUGAUGGUUAACAAGUUGCUGUCUGUGUAGGCGCUUCCCUUGGAAAGGCCAGCUGAACCGGCUAAAAUUAUAUCUGUUGCUCAGUUUCGGCCAGAGAAGGUGGGCAUAUAAACCUUAUGAGCACAAGGUACUAAGAUUUUGGUGGCUCAUUUAUAGGGCCUUUAUUUGUUGUGGCUAUUGGCUAGUCCUUCUUAAUUGAUUGUUCUGUUCUCAGGCACAUGGUCUCCAACUUGAGGCCUUUGCAGUUGCCAUAGGUAAAUUAAAUGCACACUUCCCCAGGCCUAAGCUUCAGUUUGUGGGUAGCUGUCGGAAUAAAGCUGAUGAGGAAAGAGUCCAACGUUUGAAGGAUAAAGCAAUUGAACUGAAGGUGGACGGGGAUGUAGAAUUUCAUAAAAAUGUCAUGUACAGGUCUGUGUUAAGGAUUUCAUGUUAUGCAUCCUUUCAUGCAACUUAUAAGUAAUGUGUUUCUCUUGCUCUUAUUCUCUAUUGAACCAUGCAUGCAUGGUGUGUUCACAAGUUUAAUAUAGUUGGCUGGCUUGAGUUGUUGAUUGCUUCCUAUUUGAGGUUUGAACCAUAUCAGUAGUGAGACUAAUAUAUACGGCAUAUAAUACUUCUGGAAAGGACUCGGGUAAUUAGCAUAGUUUCCGCUUUAAUCAAGUGAACCCUGUUUGGAUUGUGUUAUCACAUUCUCAGCCUUGGUUAGUUUUCACAUCUACAGGGACUUGGUUCAACUUUUGGGAGGAGCCAUUGCAGGAAUCCAUUCAAUGACGGAUGAACACUUUGGCAUAAGUGUAGUGGAGUAUAUGGCUGCAGGAGCCAUUCCAAUUGGUGAGCAUCUAAAGUUAUCUGUCGUUUGAACCGAACUUUUUAUCUUACCUUAAUGAUUUUUUUUUUCCAGAGGUCGCACUUGGUGCGAUGGCAAGUGCCUUCGCCUAUGAGCGGUAGGUCUCGGGUUCGAGACUUGGGAGCAGCCUCUCCAUAAAAUGGGGGUAAGGCUAGCUGACAUUCACCUCUCCCAGACCCUGCGUAAAACGGGAGCCUUGUGCACUGGGUACGACCUUUAAUGAUUUUUUUUUCCCUGUGCUGAUAUUCUUCAUGUUUUCCCUUCUUGCCUCAGCACAUAACUCUGCCGGCCCGAAAAUGGACAUUGUUUUACAGGAAGAUGGAUGGCAAACGGGAUUUCUUGCCCGUACUGUGGACGAGUAUGCAGAUGCCAUUCUCAAUGUCAUAAAGAUGCCAGAAAAUGAGAGGCUGGAGAUGGCUGCAGCUGCGAGAAAACGGGCUGGCAGAUAUUCGGAGCAAAGAUUCUAUGAAGAUUUCAAAGCUGCAAUCUCUCCAGUACUCACUUAAAUGGACUUCACAUCAAUCACAAUAUACUUGUAACUUAACAGAGGAGCUUUUUGCGUGGGACUUCAGUUGUAUUGCAUAUUUUGUUACCCUGAGUCUUACCAGUAACUGAUCAGAUUGUGCUACUGUAACUCUAAAUGUUUGGUAGUAUCGGCUUUCACAUCAUAUACCAGCAUUCGAUAUCCACCGUCUACUACUCUUCACGACGCUCUUUAUUUUCGGGUUCUCUGUCUUUCUUUUCCAUAUUAUUAUGGAGAAGUUGAGUAUAAUUUUUUUAUUAUUUUUGAUUUUUUAAAAAGCGAUAUUAUCUACAUUAAGGGGUGGGGAACUAAGCUGUACAAUGAGCUAGCAAUAAUAUGGUUCGAAUUUGUCUUUGGCAAGAAUCGAAUCUACGACCUCACUAACAAGUAAAGAGGAAUACUACUCGAUCGUAGUGCUGAGUGUCAAGUUGAGUAUACUUCUAGUCUUGUUGAACAAGUGAUAAUAGUGGUGGAUAGCAUCUUAUAACACAUUCCACUGUGUCGAGGGUUCAAACUCUCUCUCCCUCUUUCUACAUCGUAGCAUAGAUAAUAAUUGGAUUAUCGUUUGUAAUAGAAAAAAAAUAAAAGUUUAAUGUACAACAUUGGAAGAUGCAAAAUCUAACCAAAACUUGUUAGGGUUGUGAAAUCCAAAGUCCAUUUUUAUUUUUUAUAUACUCCUCUCAAUUUUUGGCAGUCGGAUCGAUGAAUUGAAGAAGAUUAACGAAAAAAAAUUAAUAAGGGUGUGUUGGAGGUGGUAAAAAUUAGUGUGAAUUGCAGCACUUUCCAACUUGUUAUUCUAUCAAUAAACGACAUGCCGUUCCGGUAUAGAAAACCAAAUGUAAGAACGUGGCAGGCACGCGCUAGGAUUUGGUGUGGUGGCAUCAAAUUCUCAUCUCCAUUUCCUUGGAUUACAGACCAUCCACACCAUUUGCUCGCACCACAACGCAGACAGUGAACAGUAAGCUAUUAGCUCUCUCUUUUUCUCUCUAAAUGGUUGGGCCGUAGACGACCAUAAAAAUGGCUGUUUCAUUCCACUCGGUGCCGGGCUUCAAUUCCACGGUAACUUCCAUGUUCCCUCACCUGCUCCAUCAUAUCUUCAACAGUUUCUACCUUUUCUUGAUUUUUAUAUUUUCCUUUUCAAAGUUUUUGUUAUUCUUCUUUGUGUUGAAAUAUAUUCAACUGGAUAUGCACUUUAACAGCGAGGGCGGAGCUACGACAUAGUGUGGCUCCGCCUUCUUGGUUUGGAGCAAUCAUUUUCUAGGUUGCUUGCUUUUUGUAUGAUAAAUUAGGUAGGGUGGUGCUAUCCGCACACUCUUUCUUAUCUAUCAUGCUCUCUUUUAAUUUUUAUAUAUUCUUUGAUUAAUUUGAUUCGACGGUCGAAAAUUUAGAAGAGUAUGUAAAAGGUAAAAUGAGACAUGUGAACAACACCGCUCAAUUAGAUAUUAGAUGGUGUUAAAGGAAGAAUCUUGGUUCAAGGAGUGAAAAAGCUACAUGAGCAGAGAGAAAGUUACCUACACUAGGAUGGCACCGUCAUGGUAUUCAAAGCCAAUCAUGCAUUGUGAGAAGGGUAAGUUCGUGGCAGUGCGUGAUUGACUUGGUAUACUGAUGAGAAAUUAGAUGGUCAGGAUAAGGCUUUCUUGUAUUGGUUUAAGGUUUUAACUGUGAAGAGCUCCUGAUGAAAGAGAUGAUUGUUACAGUCCAUCGUGCCUUUAAAUUAGACAUUGUUGCUUUACAAACUAUGUUGUAUGUAGCGGAAUAGUUUCAUGCUUUCGUUGCUCAUAAACUGGUUCAAGGGAACUGUUUCUAGCCAUGAAAGAGAUGAUUGUUCAACAAAAUAUCUGCGCUUUUGUUAUCUGUGACGAAAGACGAAAAUAUCUCAGCUUACAGUUUUAUGUUUUGUUGUGGUCCAUUCCAAAUAUCUUGGAAAGUGGAUGCUUCCCUCGUUAAUUUAUGGAGGUUUUUUUGUUCUUCUCCGUUACAAGUUACAGGCUAAGUACCAGAAUGUGUCAAAAGGUUCUGUUGGAGCUUCUAUACCAGCGGCCACCACCCAAUUCACAUCCUUCUUUGGAGCGUUUGGACAAAGGAGGAAUGUAAGCGAAAAACGAUGGGGCUUAUGUCUUUCAGUUGCAGAUAGCAAUCAGCUCACCACAGACACUGGUGUCAUUGAUAAGUCCGGAUCUCAAACUUCUGAUGCUCCCAAUGGCUCUUUGGAUACUUCAAAUCCAAAGCAGGAGGCAUCUCUUUCACCUGACGUUCAACCCAAGUAAAAAAGAUCGCCGCUAACAGCAAGGGAGAGAUUGAGGGUGGCCAAGGUUCUCAGUCGUUACACAGACUCAAAGCCAUUGAAAAAAUCAGCUAGGGGCAAGAAUGUAUUAGAUGCUCUCAGAGACAGCGAGCGUGGGAAGAAAAGGUCCGGACUUCCAGAGGCCCCUACAAACAUUUUUGACGACAGCAAGCGAGGAAUGCCUAAGCAGGGCCUAACUUGGGAUUUUCCAGGGGGCAAUGAUCUGUUUCUAAUUCUCUUUUCAUUUGUAUUUAUCAGCACGGUGAUGUUCGCUACAACGUUCGUAGUUUGGAAACUUGGUGCCAUCCAUUUCAAUGAAAAUUGAGACGGACUGCGGUUGGCAUCCCGGAGUUUUGCACCAGCCACCUUGAUGCUUCUGUGUACUGAAGUUCUCGUCUUCCACAGGACUAGGGUUUGAAACCAUUGUAGGCAAGAUAUACAUAUCAAUGUAAAAAGAUUUGCAGGGUUAAUAUUUGUAUCAUCAGUAUUCAACAUCUACUGCAAGUAUACUUUUGUAGCUUCAUUGGAGAGAAACAUAUGGUAAAGCUAUUCAGUUCCUUUGAACUUCUUCCCUUGUUUUUCACUUCAACUACUUCAAAAUUAACAAGAAAGUAUUUCACUUUGUAUUUUUGUUAAGAUUAACAUUGACUUUAGGGCUCAUUUUAUUUUAUUUGUGUACUAGGUUUGCUUUGUUGACACACUCAACUCAUGAGAGAAUGUAAACUUACCUCCUUCAAGAGAUAUAACCUAUAACUACAGAUGUUGUCUUGCCAUGCACCUAAACAUAAAACUUUUUAAGAUUGAUCAGAGGAGAGAGACUUACCUACACUAGGUAGGUUAAUAGAUUUCAAACUAAUAAUCUAAUGUCAUGAGUGUAAAUUUUUUCACACAUCAAUAUAUUAUUAGUUUGAGAUAUCGCAGUAGUGCUGGUUCCAAUGUAAAUAAGUCGUUCUCCCAUCAAACACCCAUGACCAUGAGUUCAUCUAUGACCAGAGCCAAGACCAAAGUGGCCAACCCACUGGAGCCAUUUCAUACUCAGAUUUAUAUCGUGGCUCCUGCCGACGAUACAUUAUUUAGGAAAAACGAUGAACCAAACAAAUGGGACCCAAAAGACAUGCAUUCGUGAUAUCAAUACUAGAAAAAAGAAAAAAAUUGAGGGAAAUAAAGAGUAGGUUGAGCAGAUGUCGUAUCAAUCUUUAAAGACCCUUUCUAUUUUUUACAAUUAAUAGCGUCAAUAAGUUAAAUAAUUAAUUUAAAAAGAAAAAAAAUCAAUGAAUAUAAUUAUAUUUAAACUGUCCUCAUAAUACGUAAAUAUAAUUAUAUUUUGCCACAACAAUAAAACGUCAUCCUCCAUUAACGCUCUUUUACACUGUUUGAGUGUAAAAUCAAGGGCCCUAUAUAUAUGUACGUAUCCUGCCAUUGUUUAUUGCUAUUUCAAGCUCUUUUGUCUGCUUGUGUAGUACCAACAAACCCACGAGAGAAGAAGACAAACAAAGUCACUAAAAAUGUGGGUAUAGAUGGAGAUCUCACAAAACCCUAAAAUGAUCUUGUCUGACGGUACGUGAGAAAUGUUGUGUUGAAAAAUCGUCUAUGGAGAAUUCCGAGACCAUACCAUAUAUGGUUAGAAGCUUUUAUCAACGGAUUAAAAACGUAACAUGUUAGAAUGUUGUUAAAAUUGAAAACUAUUCAACUCGAUAAUACUUAACAGUUGUAAUUGACUGUUAGAAAAUAGAAUAUGUACGUUGCUUGUGUUGGGAGAAAACUAUACAAUUUAAAUAAUACUUAAUAGUUCUAAUUGAUGUUUGAAAACAUAGCACAAGUCAUAGUGUCACGAUGAGAAAUCUAGAGCAUUCAACAUGAACUAUACUUAACGUAUUGCCUGAAGCAUAAGGUCAUCUUCAACCGAUGGCUGGGCAAAUGUCUCGUUUUAGCCAUCUGGCCCUUCAAGAUCCUCUAAGAUAUUAAUAUUUUAAUGAACAGUACAUGAUCAUAUUUGUCUCCGUCUCCAACCGAGGGCCAAAGAGCUCGUUUUAGCCCUGUCACAAAAAACCGUCGACAACCGAGGGCCAGAGGGCCAUAAGGCCAAACAUAAUUUAUUAUUUAAAAAUUACAAAUUAAAAUAAAAUGAAACAAAUUUUGUGAAAUAGAACUUAUAGGAAAAAAUGGAAUUUAAAAAAAAUAUGAAACAAAUUUUGUAAAAUAAAAGUUAUAGGAAAAAAUAAAAGUUAUAUGAAAAAUUUUGUACAUAAAAAAUAAUAAUAAAACUGUAAAAAAAAAAAAAUUCAAAUGCAACGGCUAGUCAACUAGCUGUUGCAUUUGAAUUUUUUCUUAAGAAUCCUGUCGGUUAUAACCGACAGAAAAUCCAACACAUUUAAAAAAAAUUUGGCUAGCCUAGGGCUGGCUGGAAGUGGCCAGCCCUCUAGCCCUUUGGCCUUUUCUGAUUUCGUGGGGCCCUCUCAGAUUCCACAGCUCUCUGGCCUUGCCCUCGGUUGGAGAUGGUUUUCGGCCCUCUGGCUCUUUGGACCAUUCGGUUGGAGAUGGCCUAACGAGUGAGAAGAAGGAUACAAUUAUUCUACAAUAUUUAACGGUUCUAAUUGACUAUAUAAAAAACAUAACAUGUUAUAUUAUCCUGGUAAGAUGAAAUUGUUCAACAUAAGCAAUCCUUAGUGGUUCUAAUAAAUUGACUAAUACUAUUACAAUUUAUCAUAUGAGAUACAUUCUAUGUGUGAGAGUGGAGUGCGAAAAUUGUCAUGUUCUAGUUGUGGGGAUGAAAAAGCACCAUUGGAGUCUGGAGAGGUUUCGAUAGUGGUUGCUGAAAGCAACCAAGUCAGUACCCAGCAGCUAGCUGUAUGUCACUUGGAAUUGAGUGGUGUGGCAGCGUGCUUUGUAGGCUAGCUAAAGGUGUUUUAGAGUAAGUUAAAACAGCCUAACAGUGCUUAUAUAAGGAAUUAAAUAUACGAGCGUUGUAUAUCUAAAGGCUGAAAAGCAUUGUGCUAAUAUGCUCAAAUUCUCAUUUAAAAUCAUAAUAUUUCGUCUCUAACUAACAUUCAUGCUAGUACUUGUUUUGGGUUUGGAUAAGGAUCAAGUUACAAAGCACAGAUUAAGACCAUGUUAAUAUGUUAUACCCCUAGAGUUGAUGAUCCCUCCAACCCGACUAUUUAGAAGUUGUUUAAUUAGUGCAACUGUUGUAUGUAGCAGUAUCUUCACAAUUGGUGAAAUUGGGUGAGACCAACAUGUAAGUAGUCCAAGGCUUCCCAAGACUUCUCGUACAAGUUUGUUCUUUCUUUUCUUUUCUCGUUCUAGUGCCAUUUAUUUCAACUCGAGUUAUUUAUUCUUCAAACCCUAGUAAUGGUGGAAAAGGUAACAAUAGCCUCUCCUUUUUUUUCUUCUUCUGUUUCAUGAUAGCCUAGUUGGAAAUAACCAUCUUAAGGUGUGGAGGUGAGAGGGGACACAAAAAGAAAAGAAACAUAAAAGAUGAUGCCUACAUCCCAUUUGAGUAUUGUGAAAAUUUUAUAAUGACAAAGACGAGAGACCUAAUUUAGUUUUUGCCCUAGGGCCCCUAAUUAGCCAAGGCCGGCCUGGUCGACAACUGCACUUAAGAAUUUUUCCUACUACUGUUAUCAAGUCAAUCCAUCUAAUGCCAUUGUCGGUACUGUUUUACUUAGUUGGAUGUACAGUUGAGCUACUGCCAAAUGCGUAUUACUAUCCGAUUCACUAAUUACCACGGAACCCUAAAGAGAAAGAGAGAAGAAAGAAAUUGUACUGAGGACUUGAGGUGACAGCCGGAUACAUCCAAAAGCAAUUUUCAUUUGACCAAGUGUAAGGGCUUGGUGGAAAAAUACCAAUCACACAUUAUGAAUAGUAGAUCUUAGAAUAUGUGAGAUUAAAAUCAAGGAGGGAUUGGAGGACUGAGGUUUUUAGAAUACGGUUUACUAGUGUGUUUUCUGGCCAUGGAUUACAACUGUUGUUAUGCUGGGACUGGAGGGGUAAGCUGGCCACAGCAGUACAAAUCUGGUGCAGCUCCAGCUGCUGCUGCAGUAAGCAAUGAGUCUUCUUCCAGCUUUCUGGUUCCACGGCCUCCUCCUCCUCCUCAUGUGUCGAGCACUAAUCAAUUCCAGUUUUGUGGGUUGCCGCCUAACUCGUGGUCUUUGACGGCAGCUGACGGUUUUGAAGACGAUAGAGAUGCAUCUGCUUCGAAGAGCCACAGGCAGGCUGAGAAAAGGCGCAGAGAUAGAAUCAGUGCACAGCUUGCUACUCUUAGGAAACUCGUUCCCAAGUCCGACAAGGUAUAUAUAAUGCCAUUUUCUCUUCUAUUUGUGGAAAUUAUAAUUAACGGUCUAACAACAUAAUAUAGAAUAUCUCGCACGCACACGACAGUAACACUUGGCCUAGUUCAUUUCUCCCUCUUUCUCGACAUUCUGCCUCCUUGAUGAUUCAGUCUAAUAACGUAGCAUAAUAUGUCUCGUGUACAGAGCCAGAAAUUUCUUCUAGCAGGGGCAAUUGAAAACAACUAAGAAAAUCUUAUUAUAGUAUGGUUAUACACAAUAUGAUAUUAAUGAUGGUUUCAAAUGAUGAUGUAUCACUAUUCUAAUGUUACAAAAAUUUCAAUAUAGUAGUGGAAAGUGUGGCAAAGUGAUGAGAAAAAAAUAAGUACAUGAUAGGAAGGAGAGGAUUUUUUUGAUUUGAAUGAUAGAACAAGAGCACUAUUGCUUAAAUAAUAUUUGAUAUGGAGUAUAAGUAGAAUGAAUGUAUGUUGGAUAUUAGAUACAUAUAUUUUCUUCAAAGAUAACCAUGUAUAUUAUAUAAUUGUAGUAUGCAACUAAACAAAUGAAUUACUUGAGUGGGGCAUCUGCCCCCAGUGAGCCUUCUUUGGCUCCGUCCAUGCAUGUACGCAUAUAACACUUUGCCUAGUUCAUCUCUUCCUCGUUCUCGACAUCUGCCUCAUUAAUGAUUCAAUCUAACAACAUAACAUAAUAUGCUCUUUCUUUUUCUUGGUAGUCUAGCUAAUUCAUAAUUCAUAGUCUAACAAUAUAAACAUAACAUGCCUCAUCAUGUCGAGAUAAAACUUUGGCUCAUUCAUGAUUGACAGUUUCCGACAACAUAACAUCUCUUCUGCAUGCAUACAUGACUUGACAGUCUCAACUAAUUCAUGAUUAACAAUUUGACAACAUAAUAUGCAUGUCUCGCAACAUGAAAACUUUCCUCAUACAAGUUGAUCUUUGUUUGUGUAGAUGGACAAAGCGGCUCUAUUAGGAAGCGUGAUCGAUCAUGUGAAGGAACUAAAGCGAAAAGCGGUGGAAGUGAGCGAAGCCUUCAUAGUUCCAACCGAAGUUGAUGAAGUAACAAUCGACUGUGAUCCUGCUUAUGGUGUAACCUCCACCACUACAAGUAGCACUAACAUAAACAGGGGCAAUUUUCUCAUAACGGCAUCCGUUUGCUGCGACGACCGGCCGGAACUCUUCUCGGAGCUCGUUCAAAUCCUCAAAGGCCUAAAACUGACGGCGGUAAGAGCCGACAUGGCAAGCGUCGGAGGCAGAAUCAAAAGCGUUUUGGUGCUUUGUUCUAAGGAUGGCGAAGAAGCAGUUUGCUUAAGCACUCUCAAGCAGUCCCUCAAGUUGGUUUUGAGUAAACUUGCCGCGUCGCCAACGGCGCCAAACUGUCGAAUUCGAAGCAAGAGGCAGAGGUUUUUCUUUCCAUUCCAAGACCCAAACUAAUUAAGAAGAUUUUGGAGUUCUAUGUGAAUCAAGUGCUUUCAGUACUUGGUCUAUUUUUCUUUUUUCUUUUUAAAAUGAGAAGGAUUUACAUGACACAGAUAUAUUGUUGUAUGCACUGUGGUAUUAGUGCUAAUAAUAUAAUGAUGUGUCAUUUUUCUCCAUAUAGUAUUGCAUUAUUGACACAGAACGUCACAAUAACAAUAUAUGUGUCAUAUAAAUUGCUUUCCUUUGGCAAUAAGGCAGAAGGAUGUGGCUUCCUACCACAAGACGUGGAGUUCAUUGACAGAUACCAUAUAGCUUACACUUUCCUCAACUGAUCGUAUAUAAUUAUUCGACUGAACAAUGAAUGAUGUUUUGCCUACUUCUGUUCAGUCUCAUGUGUUUGGUGGCUAUCAGGCAUCUUGUCAUUGUAAUUAGUAAGGAAUUUGAUGGCAAUUAUUUGUAUUAUUAGUACCUAAUAAACUCUGUGGUAUGUGCUCCCAAUUUCUAGAUUAAGGAGGGCUAUAGUUCUAUUUCACCUGGUGUCAAAGCUCAGUAAUUAUAAUCUGGUUAUGAAAUGCUACAGGUUGAGCAACAAGUUGGGGUCAUUGACUCGUUGGCCCAUUAACUUGGACUUUGGAGACUUGUAGUGCUUGUCAAAGGGUUUGCUAUUGACAAGGCUGUGAUGGGAAAUCCAAAUAAUAUUUUCACGAAUGGCAAGAGAGGUUUUAACGUAGAAUUUUUAUGUUUAGAGGAGAUAUAUCACCAGAUUAAGAGUUAGGCGGAAAAACAUCAGUAAGUCCAUCUUGUGCAUGUCAAAGAGAAAAGUGAGUACCUGCACCAAUUUGAAACUAAAUUCAAUCUAAUUUAAUCAAUGCUACGAUUAGUAGAUGAUUUGAACUUGUGACAUUUUCAAUGUUGAAAAGAGAAGUACUAUUAAAUCAAAUUAAUAUAACCAGUUGAAUCGUGCAUAUUUUCCCUUAUUGUGAACUGAAGCUUUUGUUGAUUGAAUCUAAAUUACAAUCACGAAUUGAUAACACAAAUUAAAUUUAAGAAUCUUAGAUUCUCAAACACCAGACUUGAAUAUAAUCCUCAAAAAUCAAAUACACAAAUCAAAACAAUUACGAUGUAGAUUAGGUUGCACGUGUGCGGUGUACCUAACUAAAGAUUGGUCUCACAUGAGAUGGUGUUUGAAAGAUGUAAAGUUUCACGUCAAAAACUUGACGAAAUGAAAUACAAUUUGUACCGAGUAGUUUUAUUGCUAUUUACAUCGAUAACCUCCAUUUUUUGCUAAAAUGUGCACCUAGUUAAGUUGGCAAUUUUUCAAAUCGAGGCCUUUUUAGGAGGUCCCGAUGGAGUCCCAAGCAAAUUCCUACCCCUUCAUUUUGGUGAAAUUGGGUAAUCAAUAAGUUUGAUAUUGCCAAACUGUAUCAUGUCAGCAUUUGAGGUUUAAAUAAAAGAUUAUAUGACUAAUUAUAUCUAGCUACUCCACUUUCUUUAGGUUAAAACAAACUUUGAACUCUGAUGCUAUACAGUGUAGUAGUUGAAUGUGAUUAUGUAAUGUCUAAGUGCUAGAAAAUAAAAUUAAUUUGAUCACCAACUUCUCCAUUGCAACUCCACAAAACUACCGUAGAAAAUAGUUGCCUUGCAGUUUGUGCUUCCGUUCGUUCCACUAAGAAACGGAUAGCUGUUACACCUUACAAGCGAUGUUGUAUGAGUACAUUAAGCACCUUCGUACAGCUACCAGUAAACUCCUAACAGCUACCAUAAGCAUAACCAAAUAAGCAUAACCAGUAAACUCCUAACAGCUACCAUAAGCACCUUCGUACGAGCAUAAGAACCUCCGUACAAAUCGCCACUAAGACAACAAAUGCAGCAAACCUAUACUGAACACACGCAAUGUCAUCGUCGGUAAGCGAAACCACAAAGUACCAUUGUUGACAAGCGAUGCCACAUCAUUGCUAGGCAAGACAUUAUCCGCUAGACGCGGUAUAUACGAAACAUACACUAAUCCGGAACGGAGUCCAUCUUUGGCUUACCUCCACCUGCCGAGUUCUUUCCACCUGAGACGAUACCGCAUCUGUAAGAUCCACCGCUCCUACAAACCAAGCAAGGCAAAGCAGCCACAAAUCUGGCCAGGUAAGGGCGGCGCCGUUGUGAAUCAGUCAAGAAGAAAAACACCGUUGGAACAAGCCGUGAUGAGGUGUCUGAUUCACCAACAACCAAUAAACCAACCACAAGAUGAAAGGGAGGGGUAGGGAGGCGAGGCAGAAGGAGCGGGAGGUGGAGGGGAAAGGAGUCGUUUCACUUUACUGGAGGGACUUGCUAAAACUUUUUAUGGGAGAAAGAAGAUGUACGAACACGUAGGUGUAUUUUACAGGGAUAACUAGUUUUAUGUAUAGCCUUAGUAAUACGGUUUAGUAGUAUUUCUCUUGACUUGUAAGUGAAACGUCUUAGAUUCGAUUCUUGCCAAAUGCAAAGUUGAACCACAUUAUUAUGGCAACCCAUUAUAAGACUUAACUCACUCUCCCACCUUCUUAGUGUAGAUAUUAUCGUUUGUUAAAAAAAAAGAACAACAAAACAACUCAUUGUAAAACUUAACUUACUCUCCCACCUCUUUAGUGUAGAUAUUAUCGUUUGUUAAAAAAAAAAGAACAACAAAACAACUCAUUGUAAAACUUAACUUACUCUAGACUAUCAUUUGUUAAAAAAAAAACAACACAAAACAAAACUAGUUUCAUGUAUGCAAUCAUGAUAAAUGACAUGAACGCCUUUGACGGACAUGGAUCCUCUUCGGAUCCAUGUAUCCUAAUCAUAGGAAUCCACCAAUCUGGACUAUUGAAAUUUGAUUCAAUGGUUAAAGUUAUUAUAACUUUAAAGCAGAACCCUGUUUAUAGCUGUCAAAUUUCAAUGAUCUAGAUUAAUGAAUCCCUAGAAUCAGGAGACAUGCAUCCCUGAGCGCUUUUGACAAAUGACCCUCCUCAAGUUUGAGUUCCAAAUUGCAACACAACCUGAAGUUUGUAAUUGCAUAAAACUAAAACGCAUGUGCCAUUUGUGCAAUUUUUCCAUCUUUCUUUUGAUUAGAGUGCUAAUUAUUAAUUAAUCUCCCGAAUAUUUGGAAGCGUAAAGAAUGAAGGGGGAAGGUGCAACUUCCUACUAAAAACACAACAACAAAAACCCACUUCUUCUUAAACCCCUCCCUCUCUAAUCUAAUCUCAUCUCUAAUUUCAAGAGAAGUUUCCAAAAAAAAAAAAACAAAGUUCAAAUUAAAAAAUGAACACAAAAAACAGAAAGAAAGAAACGCGUUUGGAGUUAAUUUCCGUUAUGUGAAAUCAGAGCGGUUUUACGGUUCAUGCAUGUCACCACCGACCCCCCUCCAUCUCUUCCACCGAACGGUUAAAACCCACUCAUCAAAUCAAAACUCCCCUCUCUCUCCCAUUCGAAUCCAAAUUUCCAAUCUCUCUGUUCUUAUGAUCGCAUGACGACGAUGGGAGCGAUGAGCAGUGAGGAUCGCGUGACGGGGUCGUGGAACCCGCAGGAGGACGCCACCCUGAUCAAAUUGGUGGCUCAGCACGGCCCCAGCAACUGGUCCCUCAUCAGCACCGGCAUUCCCGGCCGCUCCGGCAAGUCCUGCCGCCUCCGCUGGUGCAACCAGCUCUGCCCCACCGUCCAGCACAAGCCCUUUUCGCCUCAGGAGGACUCCAUUAUAAUCCAGGCCCACGCCCUCCACGGAAACAAGUGGGCCACCAUCGCCCGCCUCCUUCCCGGCCGCACCGACAACGCCAUCAAGAACCACUGGAACUCCACUCUGCGGCGGUGGCGGCGCCAACUCGCCAAGUUGUCUUCCGAGUCGUCCUGUUCCGACUCGGCGGCCGCGCACGGGGAAGAGCCGGACUUGAAGCGGCAGUGCCUACGCGCGUCGCCGGAGCAUGAGAGUUUGAAGGCGGACGCGGGAGGGGAGGGAGUGAUAGUCAAGACGUCGCUGACGCUAUCGCCGCCUGGUGAGAAUGCGGAGAACGAUGUCGCUGUGAAAAGUGAGGAGGAAGAACACGAUCGCGAAGCGGUGGACAAUAACGACGAUGGGGAGAAAUGUGCGGUGGAGAUGGAUGAGACGUGUUUGCUGACGAUCAUGCAGCGGAUGAUAGCGCAGGAAGUCAGGAAUUACAUCUACGGCUUACGGCCCGAUGGUGGGCCCACAUUUGGACUGCACUCCGCGCAUCAAAACGAAAACGACGCGUAACGUCGAUUACUUGGAAGGUUUCAUUUUUCAAUAUUUUUCCUUUUUCUUUUAGUUUCUUCGGUUGGGUGAAAUUUCGGUUUCAAAAUCUUGGUGAACCUGGAAACCUCUCGUAUGCAGUGUAAUGCUUUUACUUGCGGGCACUAGAAAUACAAGAGAUUAAUAUGCCACAUUGAAAAGUACGAUGGGUUGAGACGUAACCACAUUGAAUAGAACAACAUAUUGGGGCGUAGCCACAUUGAAUAGAAUGCAUGUGAUGCACCACGCUCUAAUCCCGCAGAGGAAACCUAAUACUAAUAUGGAUUUAGAUGUGACGUAAACCGAAACUACGAGAACAAGCAUCUGCAUCGAUACAUAGAAACAGACCACGUCGGUUCCAAAAUGUUUUGAUACACAUACAGGAGACUUCGGUUGAUGAACAAUCAACCCAACAGAAACGCUAAAACAAGAACGUUCCAAACCUACGUUUUAGUUAACCACAUUUCCUGCACAAAACUACACAUCUCAUAGCAGAGUUCCGCUCUCAAAAUAUAACAACGCGGUGCUUUUGUUACAAAAAUUCCAGCUUAAUGCUUCAUUGAAAUCAAUCAACCUAUCCAAAAUUUAAAACCCUACACAGAAUGAACAUCCAAUGCGAAGCACACAUGUUCAUCGACAUUGGGGAUUCCAAAUUUUCGCCAUUGGGCGUGCCUAAACCAAAAACCCUGACCAAAUUAAGUUAGAUCAUUACCCAGAACAAUGGUGUCAACCAGUCAAUCAAAAGGGUAUCGGCUCCUAAACCCAACAGUGAACCCUAAACAGAUAAUUUCCCGUAACAUACCCCGCCUAUGUCAAACUCUUAAAACACAAAUGAAUGAAACAUUGCAUAGCGAAAUAUAAACAGAUUAACAUCAAAAUAUUCCAAAUCGCCACCGAUGCUAUAGGAUAUAAAAAUAAAUUAUCUGACUGAACUGAUUAAAGCAAAACUUGUUCCAAACGAUAACACAAAGCGUACAAAACGACUACAAGUUCACUAAUGGGGUACUGAUUACUUGAUUAGACAACAAAACAUGGAGACGGAAGCGAAACGACGUCGAUUGAUGAUCGGUGACAGCGAACGAGCAAACUACUUGGAUCUCUGUCUCAUCUUUCGGCGCUUCCUCUUCAACCUCCUCAUGCGCUUCUUCUUCCACUGCAAUCACCGCCGUAAAAAAAUGCACAGAAAACGAAUCAAUCAACGGACACAAAGCGAGGACGAACAGAAAGCGUAGGUGAUCGGGAGAGAUUGAGAAAUUACCUUGGCUCUCAUGGUGGCGGUAAAACGACGUUCGCUCCCAAACCCUAGUCUUGAAAGCUGCAGAGGACGGAAGAAGAUACAGUGGCGUGAGAAGGUUUGGAGUUCAGAGCUUUGCGAGCAUUUAUACUGGACGGAGAAAACCCUAAUGUGUAGUCGGCUUUCAUAUUUGGGUUGGGCCGAUUGGUGCAAAAUCUUUUAAAAAUCUAGAGGCCCAUUAUGUAUAUUUGGGGGAAUGAGCAAGAUUAGUUGGGCUCACAUAGAAGGAAUAUGGAAAGAAGAAUCAUAUUUGGGAGGGGCUCCAAACUUUAACUCAUCGUUGUCUCUCUCUCCCUUCUCCCUCGUGUCUGACCUCCACAAUUAUGUGAGAAUCUGAAGGUAAAAUAGUGUCAUGUCCACGAAAAAAGAAACCUUAUUAGAGUUUAUAAGAGGUUGGACUACCUCCAUAUUGCUAAUUAGUUUAUGGUGGAAUCUCAACUUUCUUUAUGUUAUCAAAAUAAGCUAGCCCACAUGUGAGGUUCAACGGCUAUACUUGCUCACGUCACUUAAUUAGUGCUGUUCUUGUGGACUGGCUGUUGACUGGCCGAGAAAAAACCAAUGCUUUUAGCUUAAACGGAUUUUCACUGGAUCGAAGCCUUUGACGGAAAAAAUUGAGGAGUUGAGGAGGCGGCUGGCAGAUUAGGAUGCCAUUGUGGUAUAUCCC